rnacentral:lncRNA from 1 species
UAGAUGUUUUUUAAUACUAAAAUUUAUUUUUUCAAAAAAAAAUUUAGAUAAAGAAUUAUGAGUUUUGGACAGAGAUAAAAAAAUAAUACAUGGUGACAGAUUAGAACUCCUUAACGAGAUAUUGUUGGAGAGCUCUCCACAUAAACUUUUUUUUCACUUUCUAGUAAUAUUGUCAGAUGUGUCUCAAGUUUAUUUUAAAAAGUAACUGAAUGAAUAAUAUUAUGAAAGUACGAAGUUAUAGUAAGCCUAGCCAGUUUUCACCGCUUAUUUAUUUGCCUCCUUCACAUGUGUGUUAUAAGUACUAUAUAAGUAAAUUUGGAUUAAAUGAGAGGUAAAUAGGUUCUUACAUAACAUUUUCCUCAUGACUUGGUUCCAGACUUUUUGUAAGGCCUAUAAUAUAAAUUUGGAUUAAAUGAGAGGAAAUUAAUAAUACUACAAGUCUAACAAGGCUUCAAAUUUGAGACUGUUGGAUUAUUAGCGCUAAUCAUUAGUCCCAAAAGCUCAAACUGUUAGAAAUAUACAACAAAUUUACUUAAAGCGUACAAACAUAACGUCUAGCAGUCUCGCUUUUAACUUGGUUUAAUCAGUCUCAUGCCACUUCAAAUAUGAUUCGACAUAAUCUGAUUUUCGCUACAGGACAGGACACUUCGCCUUUUAAGCUAACAAAGAGGUAUUCGGUACCAACCAUUAAACUUUUAGCCAGCUGCUCUAAAUACGGUAGGUGAUUUCGUGUUAAACUGUAGGAGCAAUUGAAGACCUGUUUUGUUUAGAGUACCGAAUUGUAGUUCUUUAAUUAAGAAUUGUGAACAAAAUUUUCCCUUCGUGGCCAGUUUUAAUAAAAAUAAUUUUUAUAUAAAUUCCUUACUUUUCAGAUAAUUUUAAAAGAGUUCUGAACUUUUCUAUGUCCUCACGUAAUUAGUUGGGAAAUGUUGACUUUUUAUUCGAAAAGUCAUGAAAAAUAUCUUUCAGUGAAAUCUACGUGUACUAUCACAACUUUUAAUUUUUGUCCCUUUUGUAUAGCUUCAUCCUUUUAAGGCUAUUAAAUUAGAUAUGCUUAUGCAUGCAUAUAAAAUUUUGAACAAACUUCAAAUAUCACCCCAUAUAGUUUCACACGUUCUCACUUUAGUAUUUUAUAGUUUAAAAUAUAUCAUUUUAAUACCUUGUGCUUUCAUUUUUCUCUUUUUAUCAACUUCUCCGUUAACAUUUCGUUAAAUUAUAUACAAAAAACUUCAAAUACAUCACCUAGGUUUAUCGAUUAUUCACUUUAGUACCUUUUAGUCUUAACUUUGUCGUUGAUUUAACGAAAAAAAUUAGUGAAAAAGAUAAUAAAAAAAACAAAAAUGAAACUAUGGGGUACUAAAUCGGUACACUGUAAACCAUAAAGUACCAAAGUGAGAACGUAUGAAAUCAUAGGACUGGUAUUUAAAAUUUUUCCUAAAAUUUUUAAGAAUAGAAUGCUACAUGUUGUAGGAUAUAACUCAGUUAUGUUUACAAUAAUAAAUCUAUGAAAUUGGGACAAAAGUUAAAGAUAUUCUUAGAUUUCUCUAAAAUAUGCUAAACAAAGGCUAUUAAUAAUAAUAAUAAAAAGAAUAGCCCAGAAAAUUAUAUAAAAAAAAUUUAAAAAAUUAUAUGCAAUUUUAUCCUUUCGAAUAACUUCUGUUGCAAAUGGGAGGCAAGGGGAUUUCUUUUUCUUUUUUUUUUUUCCUAGCUGCCUUUUGGAAAGCUAAAAGAGAAUAUUAUUUUAUAUUUUAAUAUUUUAUACAAUACAUGAAAGAGGAACCCGAAAAAUGAACGACCGUGCUUCCCGGGUCGAGGAAUUCUACACUAUCACACUUGCACCAUAUCAUUAAUAAUAAGUCAAUCAUUUUUUUUUUUUCAAACAAAAAUACAAUAAAAAUAUUUUUUUAUAAUCAUGAUGUGACAUAUAUUUCUAAAAAUUUUUUUUGAUUGAUUUGUUACGCCACAUCACCAAUAUACCCAUUGCAUUCUAGAAUUUUUUCUCUAGGUCUAGGGCAAAUUGAUGGGAUCCAUUUUUUUUCAUUCCUCUCUCAUAUUAAUCAACCCUUUUCUUUUUUUUUUUUUACCUACGCCAUGUCUAAAAAUUCAUUAUAUAAAUUAAGCCUAUUUUAAAAUAAUUAAUAUAAAAAAAAUUAAAAUUUCAUCUGAUAAAUACAAUCUAUAAUAUAUAAAAAAUCUAGAUAUAAAAAUUAAUAGAUUUUUAUAUUUAUAAUAAAAUUUUAUAAAUACAGUGAAACAAAAGUUAUAUACCCCACAAAUUGAUGGGGCCCACUUUUUUCAUUCCUCUCUCCCUCCCAACUCAUAUAAAUUAACUUUUUCUUUUUCUUUUUUUUUUUUGCCUACACCACGUCUAAAAAUUUAUCAUAUGAACCGAAUCUAUUUUUUAAUAAUUAAUAUAAUAAAAUUAAAUUUUCAUAUGAUAAAAUAUAAUCUAUAAUAUAUAAAAAAUCAAGAUAUAAAAAUUAAUAGAUAUUUUUACUUUUAUAAUAAAAUUUUAUAAAUACAGUAUAUAAAAAAUUAUAAGUCCGGUAUAUAAGACAUCCUCACAUAUUUUUCAAUAUGACUUUAACUUUAAUAUAAAUAAAGUUGAGCUUUAAUAAGGUAAAGUCCUCUAAUAUAAGUCUUCCAACUUUAAUUUUUUAGUUAAAACUUUAUUUAUAAAAUAGCUAUCAAAAUUAUUAAAUUUAAUUAAAAUUUUAAAUAAAAUUAUUAGAAUAGUUAACUAUAUAUUAUAAAUAUUAAAAUUAAAAAAACUAUUAAUAAAAAAAUUACUUUUUAUAAUGUACAUAAGAUUGCUUUAUAUAUAUAUAUAUAUAUAAUUUUUAGCUAUAACUUUUUAAAUUUUAAAAUUUUAAAUAAAUAUGUAUAUAUCAAUUGGUUAAAAUACAAUUGACCUGUUGCGAAGCGCCGGCCCUACACUAGUUGAGCAACAAAGGCAAAGUGGAAUCCAUGUGUAACAAAAGGGGAUGGAGCUCUUGGACCAGGGAAUAUUUAAGUCGCUUUGUGGAACUAUAUAUUGUAUUAAUUAAUUAGGAUGUUGCAUAAGGAACUCACCUGGAGCUUUCCUAUUGCAAUGUAACAUAAAUUGAGGAGGAAAAAUUAUUUGGGAUAAUCUAGGAAAGUUCCAGAAUAUUAUGAUCAAUUGGCUUCGUUUGGUUCGGAUAUAAGUAAGAACUAGUUAUUCCAGAAAUAGAUAUAAGAUGAGGUAUAAGGUAGGUAUAAAAUAAUUUUGUGUUUGGUUGAGUAUUGGAUUUAGUCCAGAUAUAAGCAAAAUAGUAUUUGGUUGGAGUACGUGGAAUAAGAAGAAUAGUGGGUGGUUAUAAAUAAAAAAUAAUGAUAUUGUCAUCUUUAUUAUAUUUGAAUUAAAAUUUUUAAAUUUUAUAUUUAAAAUUUUAAAUUUAAAUAUAUAACUCUUAAAUUUCAAAAAUAAAAAAUUAACAUUUAAAUUUAAAAAUCUCAAAUUCGAAAAUUCAAAGUUCUAAAUUUUUAAUUUCAAAUUUUAAAUUUAAGAUCAAAGCUAAAUUUAGAAAUAUAAAAUUUUAAAUUUAGAAAAUUAAAUAUAUCAAUUUAAAAUUUAAAAUUUAAAAUUUAUAAUUUAAAAAUAUAAAUUUUUAUUUUAAGAUAACAAAUUAUAAAUUUUAAAUUUUAAAUUUAAAUUUAAAAUUUAAAAUUUAAUUAGGGAUGGAAAUAGUUAUUCCAUCCCCUAUACCUGGGGAAGAGUUAACGGGUUAUUCCGGGAUAACCCGUUAAUGGGUGGGAUAGCAAUCCCACCCCUCUUAUUUUUGUUGUUUGGGUAUAAGGGGUGGGAUAACCCCUUAUCCCACCUCUUAUAUUCGAACCAAACGGGGGCUAAAAGUAAAACUGUACCAGUUCAUCUGAGAUUUUUCUUUAGUUUAUUGGCGGUUUUGUUUGGUUUGCCAAACUAUUUUAAUACUAAACGAGUUAGAUAUUUCGCAACCGAAAAAUUUAAAACUGAUAGAGUCAUUAAACAAAAGUGCUUUCUGAGCGCCAAAGUUUAAAGAAAAUGAUCAGAAUUAAGAUUCUUGCAACUUCUCAGGCAUCUCAACUGAUGGAAUCCCGUGAUCCCGUCUAAUAAGCAAAAAAAAAAAGUGUUGAAUAAGAUGUUUAUGCAUCCACACAGAGCCGUUGAACAUACUAUCCAGCUAACCAUCGAAAGCCACUUGAUCAUCUUCGCAUGCAACUUCCUCAAAAGAAUAAGGAAGAUCCAAAACAAGAUUCAAAAUAACUAGGGACCAACGCCUAACAAGUCAUAUGCUCAGCAAGGUAAUGCAAUGGCAUUUUCAUGAACUUGUGAGGCCAGGAAAAGGGAAAAUUGACGGAGUAAACAGAGAAACCCGUGACUAAGACGUUACUUGGGAUUACGGAUAGAAUACAUUACACAGCAGGAUUAAAGUGUAAUGCAAAACAAUAUUCCAUUCGUUUUCAUAGGUAACAAGAAGUUGAGUGAGAGGAAUGCUUUGAUACACUAUGUAAGUAUUGAAAAGGAUAUGAUUGUGUUUUAUAUGAAGUAACUUGUUGGACAGGUUACUAAUUUAGAAUAGUCAAGUACAAUAUCGAAAAAAAAAUUUGUGGCAUAUAAUAAAUUUAUCAGGAUCCUAUAAAAUUUUAAAUUUUUUACUUAAUUUUGUUUACUUAAUUAGAUAAUUCCUAAUCUGUUAAGUAUCCAACUCAAAAUGAUAUUGAAUUUAAAUUCAAUUUUUAAAUUCGGUAUCGUAAUGUAAAAUUUUGAUUUUAAAAUUUAAAAUCAUCCCUUAAAUUUGAAUCUAUAUUCCACUUUUAAUCUUGAAAUCACAUUUUAAUGCUUGAUUUAAAUUGAAAAUUUAGAAUUUAUACUAAAAAUUUUAUUUCAAAUUUGUGUUUUAUAUUUAAGAAGAAUUAAAUUUGAUUCAGAAUUAAAUUUCGUAAGUUGUUUCCAAAUUGAAUUCGCAGUCUAGCUGUAAUUUGAAUUCUGAUUUCUUUUGUAGGCACUUGAAAAGUCUAUAAUUUCCUUAGUUGGAUAAGACCAACGAUAGAUCUUAUGGACGAAAACAUUGUACAAAGACCAAAAUAUUCUUCAGACUAAUACAUAUGCCCCUCAAUAACAGAUCACCUUUUAUAAAGUAAUAUUACGUCUCUGACCACGGCCAGAACUUACAUGGUAUAUUGAAGCAUACUGAUCUUUAUAUACUUCCGUCGUAACUCUAUUUUAUCUAAUAGUAUUACGCGACACUCGGGACAAAAUUUUACUAAGCCAUGCAUGAUUGGAGAAUGGGAAAAAGGUGGUGGGAGAGAUACAUGUACACCCAAAGAGAGGAGGAGGUGAUGUUCUAAGUUCUCCCAAAAAGAGCCCAUUCCUGAUCAACCCAUAUUGUAAGGUUGUGCACAUGGGAGUAGCUCCACAGAGUUAUUGCCCGGCACUAAAAUUAAAGAGCUACAUAUCCCCUCCUCUGUUUUUUUCUUGUGUUUUUUUGGGCUAUACGUUGCACCUCUCCAUCAUCCCACGUUUACCCACAGAGCCCCACUUUAAGAGAUUGAGCUCGUAACGUUGCGUUAUUGGCCAUGUCCAUGCACAUAAAUGGUACGAGCGAAUUGAUGAAGGAAACGGAGUUUUGGACAAGACAUUGAGAAUGUACCUGACAAUAUAAAAGAUCUCCCAUGUGAGCAUGAUUGCUCAUGUUCGACAAAAAAAACUUACAACAUUUUGCAUGAUGUCAUUGCAGAAGGUAUUCGAUGCAAAUAUUAGGACAUACAAGAUUUAUUUGAAUAAACUAUUUUGAUUUAACUAUCGAAUCUUUCAAAAAUUUAAUUUUACUAUCCAAUCCAUCGAUUUGUUCGAUCUGAGUGAGUCAAUAGUAUUUUUAGAUUCAAAGUGCCGUUGGCUGACUCAAAUCGAACAAAUUCGAUAGAUUGGAUAGUAAAAUUAAAAAUUUAAAGGUUGAAUAGUUGAAUCAGAAUAGUUCAUAGUUCAAAUAAGUUUUGUGCGUUCUAUCAAAUUUAUGGUUUUAUUAAACUUCUCAUCAUAUAUUUAAGAAAGCAGAAAAAACGAAAAAGAAAAAAAGAAGUAUGCUGUUUGUUUGCUGAAACAAUUUUGGGGAGAAAAAGAAGGAGAGCGUUGCAAGUUGCAAGCUUAACCUAAAAGUAAAUUAUGACUGACGCGGAGAAAAUGCAUUAUGUACGGUUAGAAAGUAUAAUUAAAAAAAUCUAUUUAUUUUUAUAUGUAAUAUUACGUUGUGCAUAUGAUGAUAAUUUAUUUUUUCUAUAGUCCUGGUAAAACUAUAAAAAUAUGUUUUUAUAUACUUUCGUCCUAACUCUGUUUUGCAUACUAAAAAUGAAUUGGGCUUCGUUGUUUGGAUCGGAAAAGAUCGAAAUGUAAAAUGUGAGCCCGAGGCUGAUUCUUUCUGGGCUAAAUCUGCAGUGAUUUUUAGGUUGGACCGGCCCGUUUAUUUAUUUUAAGAAAUGAGAUUGCCCGUAUACAUGCAUAGGUUGAAUACUUGGAUCCCUCUUUUUUCUAAAAUUUUUAUAAUUUUUAAUAUAAAAAUAUAAAAAUACUAUUUUCUACAAUUUAGUUUGGUAUUAGAAUCACAUGUCCUAAGUUCGAGUUCCCUCGGGCUCCUAGAAUUAUUUAGUUUUAUCUCAUUUAAUCAAAUCCACGUCUCGGACGCAAACAUCUGAAUCAUGUAUAUUUUUGGGACUUCUAAUUCCAUCUUCUAUCUUCGUUCUUAGCUUCUUAAUUGAACUAAUUAGGCAUAGUAAACAAGAUCUUGUAGUCCUCUCUUGUAGUGUACAAAUAUGCGAUUAUAAUUUCCAUGGAUUGCUUAAACCGAAUCCUCUGUUCACUUUCACAAUUUUUUAUUUGAGAAAUGAUUCGGUACUUUUUUUAAAAAAAAAUAAAAAAGAUCUUAACCGUUGAUUAAUAGAGGGUAAAAAUGUAACUUUAGGAAAUUAAUUGAUUAACCAAAUUUAUGAAAUUAUUAGGCAUUAAUUUAGGAAUCUACUUUAAAUGUUUUAGUGUUUCUCAAAUUAUCCAUUAAUUUAAAUUAUAGAAAUUUUAGAAAUUGUUUUAUUUCUAAAUACGAUGAAUUUAAAUUUUAAAAAUUAAAUACUUAAAAUUUAAAAGUAAAAUUUAAAUUAGAGGAAUUUCGUAUUACUAUUUAAAAACUAAAUUUCUACCAAGAUUUAAAAUACAGUUUAUUCGCACCAGUUUAAAACGUAAUGCAUAAAAAACUUAGAAAGUAAGAUUUCUACAACUAGAUUUCUUUAGAGGAAUUUUAUAUUACUAUUUAAAUUUUAAAUUCAAUGAUUUAAAAACUAGAUUGAACCGAUUGAUUUGACUGAUCAGACUUUGACCUAUUCUAUCAAGAAUCUGAUUUUAACCUAUUGAACCGAAUAACAUUAAGAACAAUUUGGAACCGGUAAAGAUAAUAAAUAUUUUAAACAGAAUGAUAAUUUAACUGUUAGAGCUAAUAAAUAUUUUAAAUAUAAUUUUAAACAUAUAAAUUAAAAAGAUUAGAAUUAUUGGUGAGAAAAAAAAUAGUUAGGAAUUUGAAUUCGAAUCUGACUAACAAUCACAAAACUUAUUUCCGAACUCGACGGAUUUCAAAAAUCCAUAUCCAAAUUCAAAACUGACCAAUUUUUCGAAACCCAAAAUCAAACCUAAACCAGAAGACUAGAAUUCAAACAAUUAUUUCUGUUUACCAUAUUUCAAAGUAUUUAUAUGAAACUUAAAUUUUUAAAAUAUAAAUUUGAAUAUAAUAUUAAAUUUUAAAUUUAAAAGUGAAAUUUAAAUUAGAGAAAUUUUAUAUUACUAUUUAAAGUUUAAAUUCAAUGAUCAUAUUGUCAAAUCAUUUGAAAUUUUCCUUAUAUGAAAUGCCAAAUUAUGAAAGGAAAGAUAGAGAGAGCAAAAAGAAAUAAAGAAAAAAUAAAAAUUUUGAAAAUAUAGUAGAUGUAAAAUGACUAAAUUGCCCAUGUAUUAAAAGACAAAAAUAUCUUUUUUUGAGGUACCUGGUAACCGGUACCUCUCCCAAAGUGACCUACUAUUGCAGGUCACAAUUUAAAAAAAAUUAAAUCUAAGUCGUUGAAUACGCGUGAAUGAACGGUAACCAAAAAAAAAAAAGUAUAGAAGCAUUACUCUUUUUAUUUUCCUUCUUCGCAACAUUUCAUGUGUUAAUAGAGAUGAAGGUUUAAAUCAGUGUUACCUCUCUGCUACCAAGCAAUGUUUGCUCCUCUUCAUUAUCUCGCGAAGGUUUAAAUGAUUUUACGGAUAUUUGAAUUAAUGUUGCUGCUAUUUACCUACUAAAUCGCAAACUCGAGCUCGAAUAAUGUUUCGAUUAAAUUGGUAUGAUGAGUUAAAUAAAUUUCUGAGCUUAUUUAUUAUUAUAUCGAUCUUUUGGAUAAUAUAGUAUCAUAGUUAAUGUUUCGUAAAUCUCGUUACUUGAAUAGCAUUCUAUGAGAAUUAAUUUUAAAUCUUUUAUUCUGUAAUGCAGGUCGAUCUUGGAAGUAAUAUAUUGAGAGUGGUCAUCAAUUCAAAAUGCUCUAAUCAUCUCCGAAAUUGACGGUGAUCGAUUCAGUUCCCAUGAAUGGUUCUUUAUUAUUAUUUUCUUAAAAAAAAAAAAAGUCGAUUCAACGCCACAAAACAUGUACUACACUUGCAACCACAUUCAAGUCAAACACAAGUGCCUUGAUGAGUUUCUUUAAAAAUUACAACUUUUGAAGUGGAUCAGAAAAUGCAAGUUUAAGUAAUAUUAGAUUUCAACUUCAUGUAGCGUUUGUUUGCUUUCAACUGUAAUGUUAACCUCAUUUCUUGCAGCAACUGGUGAUAGCAGCAGAGUGAAGGUUGUUCACCGGCACGGCCCGUGCUCGCCGCUCAGCCGCCAAAAAGACACCAAUCACGCGCGCAUCCUCCGCCGAGACUGGUCUCGCGUCAAAUCCCUCUCUCCGCCGCAUAUCUUUCUUGUUAACAGCAACACUCAACAGUACGUCGUCGGCCGACACGACAAUCCCUGUCCGCGGUUGCUCCUUAUUUUCCGCCAGCGAGUAUGUCGUCACUGUCGGCGUCGGCUCUCCAAGCCAAGACCUCACCUUCGCCCUCGACACUGCCGCCGACCUCACCUGGGUCCAGUGCAAGCCCUGUGCAGUGUACUGCUACCUGCAAAAGGACCUGCUCUUCGACCCUUCGAAAAUCGACGACGUACUCCAACGUUUCCUGCUACUUCCCGGAAUGAUAUCACUUGUCACGUGUGGCACUCGUCCGUUAUCUGUACGAACGAGCCAGUCAAACCAUUCGGAGGCAUAAAGCCGGCUCACUUAAUAUACGUUCCAAGGUGGAUCUAAAAUUUAGGUAUGGCAUUGCACUGGAAGUUGAUAUAAGUCCGGGAUUCUUCACAUUGCUAGUAUAUCGCAAACUUGUUUCGCAUUUGCGAGCAUUGCGAGCGAGCGCGCGGCAUCGAUGGUAGAAAACACGCAGCAGAGAGGGUUGGAGAUUGUUUACAAUGUGUUCAAGAAGGUGAUUGGAUUUGGAGUGGGCGGUUGUUGUAGGAUGGAAUGUUUGUGGCUCUUGAGAAGGAAUAACUGGAGCAGAAAAAUAAAACUAAUUAUGUGAUCGUCUAUACAUUCGAUGAAGAAACAAUUUCCUGCUAAGUUUAUUUCUAAAUGAAAUAAACGAAGUGGGUAGCGUGCUAUCUAUCUCUCAAAAAAAAAAAGAAAAAUUUCUUUAUUUAAAUUUUGAGAGAGAGAGGGAUAGAAUGCUAGUUGCUUUGUUUGUUUUUUAAGAGAUAAACUUAAUUAAAAAUAUAAAAUAAUUAUAUUUCAAAUUUGAGAUUUCGAAUGUUAAUCAUCUACACUAACUAAUAAGUUGAAAAAAUAUUCACGGUCAAAUCCUUCUACCAGUUCAUCACAGACGCAGGACUGCACAUCCCGAUGAACCAACACAUUUGGAACUUGAAAAUUUCAGUAAAAAUCAAAGUCUUUAUUUGGCUGCUACUUCGGAAGAGAUUACUCACUGCAGAUAGAUUGCUCAACUGAGACAUACUUGUAGACCAAAAUUGUGUUUUCUGUGCGGUUCUCACGGAAAGCUGUGACCAUUUAUUCAGUAAUUGUGUUUGCGUUCGAUACUUUCUCCUCAGUGUGGAAAGAUUGGACGUAACUGACAACAUCAUGGGCGACGUCCGAAGCCUUUGGCCCGGAAUUUCUAACAACCCAGUUGAUUCGUUGAGAACACAAGGCUUGAUCCUUCUGGCUGCGAUUUGGUGGGUGGUUUGGACGGAUAGAAAUAACUCCGUUUUUCGGAGAAAUCCGCCCAACACUACCCGGUCUUUAGAACGUGUUAAAUUACUUAACAGCAAUUAGACCGCACUGCUCUGAUGUGUUACUAGAGCUUCUUUCCCUUUCUUUUCUCACCUUGUCUCUUCCUUUUCGCUUUUUAAUCUUACCUCUUUUUGCCGGUUUCUUAGAGAGGCCUUCGUUACUUCCAUCUUGUAUGCUCAAUUCAUUUUGCUUAAUGAAUGAAGUAGCUAGCUUGUUACCUAUUUCUCAAAAAAAAAAGAAAAAAUGUAAGUGAAAGCGAGCAAUAUUGGAGCCUCAGCAAAUGAAUGUUUAGAAACGGGACUUGUGUUGGACUAUGUCGGGCAUAAGCUUUAGACUUAGAAGAGAAACAGCUAAUCACAGCUCAAAAUCUAGCUUUGUAUGUUUAAUGUGGAUCAUGCCGGGCCGGCCCAUUGCCAGGACGAGGCCCGUGCGGUCCGUAGUAGACCGAGCAGUGGACUGAUCCGAUUAUUUUUUUUACUUUUUAAAUUUUUUAAUUGCUUUAAUCUCACUUUAUUAUUUUUUCUUUUUGGCCUUUUUGCAUAAAAAAUCCACUUAUUUUGGGCUUUUGCAAAACCGGGUCAUCUUUUUCGUUUUUGCAAAUUCGGUCUGCUUUUUCAGCAAACUGACCAAAAUACCCUUAUUACUUUUUCUCUUUCCUCUUUCUCUCUCCUCUUCGUUCUCUCGUUCUUUUUUUUUUCNGAACUUGGCGAGGAGGAUGGAGUAGCGGUCGCGACGCAUGCCGUAGACCCACUCGCGACGCGCGGGGUCGAGGUCGUGGGUGCGGUCGAAGAAGCCGACGAGGGGCGGCGCGGGGCCGGAGCGGGAGGAAGAAGAAGAAGAAGAAGAGGGAAAAAAAAAAAAGUGCUCCAGCAGGAGGAAGAAGAAGAAGAAAAAGAAAAAGAGAAAAAAAAAUUACUCCUGCAGGAAGAAGAAGAAGAAGAGCCCGCCUGGCGGUGCUCCGGCGGCGCGUCCGCCUGGCCUUCGCUUUUUUUUUUCGGUGAAAGAACGAGAGAACGAAGAGGAGAGAGAAAGAGGAAAGAGAAAAAGUAAUAAGGGUAUUUUGGUCAGUUUGCUGAAAAAAUGGACCGAAUUUGCAAAAACGAAAAAGGUGACCCGAUUUUGCAAAAGUCCAAAAUAAGUGAAUUUUUUAUGCAAAUUGGCCUUUCUUUUUUAAAGUUUAUAGUAUUACUCAUUCAGUCGAUAAAAUUUGAAUGGCUUUUUGUUAAUAAAAAAAGGUUAUUUAAAAUUUAAAAUUUAAAUUAUAUUUGAGAGUGGUGUGCUGUGGCCCAGCAAUCCAACAUCCUCAAGCCUACGUGGCUAUGUCCACGUGGAGCACCCCAAUUGGUUCGCACACGCGUCUUAGUCCCUGCGUUUUCCCGAAACUCCAAAACCGAGCUCGCGCUUCGACGAUCUUCGUCCCUUCCUACUGCGAUCGAGAGAAAAAGAAAAAAAAAGAAAAAGAAAAAAGAGAGAGAUCGAAAUUAUUAAGAGCUGCGAAAUGCUCGUCGCCUCUUCCUUCCUCCUCCUCCUCAUCCUCUCCUACGCUUCCUCUGCUGCAUCGCUCUACUCCCCCUCCUCCCCCGUGCUCCAACUCACCCCCUCCAACUUCAAAUCGAAGGUUGUCCCCCGAUCUGAUCCCACUCUGCUUUUCGAUCUCUUCUUCUUCGAGCUCCUUGCGAUUUGAGUGCUGAAUCGAGGGUUUUGGUGCUAGGUUUUGGGAUCCAAUGGGAUCGUCUUGGUGGAGUUCUUCGCGCCCUGGUGCGGCCAUUGCCAAGCCCUAGCUCCCGCGUGGGAGCGCGCCGCCACCGUCCUCAAGGGCGUCGCCACCGUCGCGGCCGUCGACGCCGACGCUCACCAAUCGCUCGCUCAGGUGUGGAAUCAUCGCCAUGUUUGUGCUUAAUUUUGUGGUGUUGUUUAUUUGUGAUUGUGAUUGUGGUGGACUAAUAUGAAUCGGAGAAUGUAUGCAUCGCAUGUCGAACUUUAGUCUGUAGAUUUAGUAUCGGUGAGUUGCUUGAUCAGAGCGGUCGCUUUGUUACCCAACAUUUUGGGCAAAUUUGAUCCUAUUAAUGUAGCGGCAAAUGCAAAUAUAUUCCUGUGAAACUGUUGCAAGUUGACUUCAAUUGAGUAUUAUGAAUGGGUGAAAUUAUGCCUUGUACGUCAAACUGUAGUUGAUAGACCGCAUCAGCUAGUUGCCUAGUCUGUUCUUGAACUUCUUUUAGGAUUUUUGAAGGAUUUAUGAUUCAGGGUUUGCAUAAAACAGGAGGUUGAAUAGAGAGACAAUUGAAUUGAAAAAUGAGAGUAAAGUAUUUAGGCGGACACUUAUUAUGGUGGAAUAGCCAUUUUUGCAAGGAAUAUUCGACUUUACCUGGUGAACUGAAGAAGAGGAAUUGCAAAUUUUGAACAUAGAGAGGGAUAUAUUUGAUAAUUUAACUUUUGAAUGACAAAUCUGCAAUUUCGAUACAUUUGGAUUACAUAAGAUAGCUACCUCAAAAAUUUACUGUUCCUCAUUCAUAUAUUAAUUCUGUUGCAACUUUUUUGUUCAACUUUAUUUUAAAUUCAUUGUUUUUUCCUACAUGAUUUGGUGCUGUUUUGAUGACUUAACUCUGCAUGGUUAUAUUGCUGGAGCAGACUAUAAAUUAAGAAAUUGUCAAAAAUACACUUCUGGCAUCACAUUAAAAGCUUUUACGUCCUGCCAUACCCUUUUCUAUAUUUGAAUAAAUGGAAGUGACAAUGCAUGAUAUAUAUGCAGGAAUAUGGAAUUCAAGGAUUCCCUACAAUCAAAGUGUUUUCACCUGGUAAGCCUCCAGUGGAUUAUCAAGGAGCGAGGGAAGUAAAGCCAAUUGCAGAAUUUGCUCUAAAACAGGUUUUGAAACUCAGAACAAAUCCUUUAAAUUCUUUCUAUUUAAUGAACCCACCAUAUGGUCUUCUCUUCUAAAAGUUUCAUUAGUCAUUGGAUUUUUGGUCUCUUUGUAUCUUGCACCAGAAUCAUCUUAUUGUAUGUCUCUUUAAUCUAAUUAUUAUUAUUAAUAGUAGCACUAUCUAGAUGUAUGGCAUGCUACCAUUCUGUUCACAGAAAAGCCUUUUAACUUGUCGAAAAUUUUUGAUAUUUUGUUUACAUUGAGCUUUAGGGGAAAUCGCUAUUUGGUAUUCAUUGAUUUUGAAAUUACUGGCAGCAUUCUUCAGUCAUACAUGUAUGGGAAGCGCAAAGAGUCAAUGCAAGUGUCAUAGCAAUUUUGUUGCUUAGCUGCUUUUGUCCCCCUCAAUUAUUUACAAAUACAUGUAGGAGUUGUGUAAUAAUUUUUGUUUCAGCCUUUGGGUAGUUAGCUUAGAUUAGGUUCAUAAGGAAAAGUUGAUCGUAACUUGCACUUAUUGAAUCCUCCAUGUAAGUCGGCUAGUUUAUUUAAGUUUGCUAGUUUAAUUCCAUAUGAAAACCUUAUGUUAACUACCUGUCAAUCGCAAAAUUCAUCAUAAAUCCUAACUAAGGUGGGUCCAGUAACUCCAGUUUGUAACACUUUGGUGAUAGUUAUUGGUCGACCAUAUAGACUUUUUUUUUUUGUUUCAUUUGAGGCUCAAACCAAGAUGCUUUCGGUUGGUUGACUUUCCAUGGUAGUAUUGUUAAUAAUUCACAUGAUGCCAGAGUAGCUUUUUCGUCUAUCAUAUGAGUACAAAUAAAAAGAAAUUAAUCUUAUUCACAGGUUAAGGCACUCCUGAAGGAAAGGUUGGAGGGCAAGACUUCAGGAGGUUCAAAUGAGAAAUCUGACACAAGCGCUUCAAUUGAACUGACUUCUCGUAACUUUGAUGAGCUUGUCCUUAAAAGUAAGGACCUCUGGAUAGUGGAGUUCUUUGCACCAUGGUAUGCAGCUUUGAAACACAUGCAACAGUUAUUGUGUUAACAGUAAAUCGACUGAUCUUAAUGUCCUUUCUAUGUAUGCCUGUUAACCGUAUUUGUUCUUCCAAACUAAUUGCUAAUUUAAGGAUUAUAAUGCUUUAAUUGAGUGGAGUAUAAUAAUAAGCUAUUCAAUCAAUUUGUAGACGCCAAAAAAGUUUAUGUAUGCAAGUGCUUGACAUUUUUAACUAAGGAAGGUCAAACUUUAAAUUUCAAUGAUGGAGGAAUAAAAAAAAUCUCCAUUCCUUGAGCAUGAAAAGUGCUUUAUAUUAGAAACUUUGAUACCUUUUUUCUGUCAUAAGGAUUUCAAAUAUGGCUUAGUUGUUUGGUUGUUUUGCCUCCUUUUUUUAAAACUAUUUUCAGGAUAUUAAGCUUUCUCCCGGUAGUUAUGCUUUUUUUUCAGUUUUUUUUUUUUCCUUUUUUGUUGCUUUUCAAACUAACCAAAUUACAAUCUCAAACAGUUAGUUCUGGAGAAUAUUAUAUUCUAACAUGUGAGAUUGAUAUUUACACCUAAAUUUCUUCAUGCUGUCACAUGUUGAAGACGAUAUUGUUGCAUGCCAAUUAACAUGCUUUUAGCUUUUAUUUCUCGAUUAAGGCAGCCAGAUGCAUGAGACAGCUUCUACUUUAGGAUCUGGCAACAUCUGUAUUUUAUUAUUUAGAGGGUCUUUUUUUCAUGAUUGAAGAUUUAUGGUGCUUAGACUGCAAAGGGUUAACGAACUAUUGCUCCAAGGCCUGCCCUCUAAAUUGAUGUGCUCAUAUAAUUAAGGCUUAGUUUGGUAUUGAGUUUUAUCUAACGCUAUUUGAUAGAAUGGAGUUGAGAAAAAGUAUAUAGGGAUAUGCUUCUGCGUUCUCCGAUGGGAUCGCAGAAAAUAUAUCGUAACCGACUAACCGCAAUAUGCGGAACGCAAUAUUACGUACGGAAACAAACAAGGUAUUUUCCCUUCGUCGUUUCUCACCGCAUGUAAUGCAAUCUCUCUGCAAUCCCAAACGAAGCCUAAAUUGAUUCCAUUUGUUCCAGUCCUAAGAUUAGCUUUUUCUGUUUCAGGUGUGGGCAUUGCAAAAAAUUGGCACCAGAGUGGAAAAAAGCUGCAAAUAACUUGAAGGGCAAGGUGAAACUGGGCCAUGUUGAUUGUGAUGCUGAAAAGGUACGUUAAUCUACAGAUGAGGUUUGUGACGAAUUACAUUAGAUUAUGUGGUUAUGAUAUUGAUGAUACUUUUGGAAAUCACAAAGGCGUUAUCUAGCUAGGAAAAUCAUAAUUGUUCUUUUUCACCCUCGUAUUAUUAAAACAAACAGAUGAGUUUGUUCCGUAAGCUGAUAUGCAAAUUUCUCAGUCCUUAAUGAGCAGGUUCAAUGUACAAGGAUUUCCUACCAUUUUGGUAUUUGGUGCUGACAAGAGCAGCCCUUUUCCCUACGAGGGAGCUCGAGCCGCAGCAGCAAUCGAGUCAUUUGCACUGGAGCAGCUGGAAACCAAUGUGGCUCCACCUGAAGUGACUGAGCUCACUGGCCCAGUAUGAAUUUCUAUCAUUGAUUUAUAUUUGAAGAACAUGCUAAACUUUGGCUACUGCAUAAUCUCACUCAUCUUUUCUGUAGGAUGUGAUGGAAGAGAAGUGUGCGUCAGCUGCCAUAUGUUUUGUGGCCUUCCUCCCUGACAUCCUGGACUCAAAGGCAGAGGGAAGAAACAAAUAUCUUGAGCUUCUAUUAUCUGUUGCUGAGAAAUUCAAACGGAGCCCCUACAGGCAAGUGCUUAUUUAGAAAGCACUUUGUUGCUUCCCUGAAUUAUGAAGUUAUUGGUUUGUAUCUUUUUGAACUCAUAAAUUUUAUACAAGUUGCAACAAGAAGGGGGGAGAAAAUUGCUGAAGCUGAACUUGUAGCUUUAAAUUGAAGCAUUUGCAUUUGGGGCCUUGAAGCUCAUUUCGCGUUCCGACCUAAUUGGCGCACUAAUAUGCAGCGACUAUAUGUUUCCUUUAGAACUUGCUACAAAAGCUUGGCAAUUAAAAAACAUUAUUUCUUCUAAAUCUCGAAUUCAUGAUAAUAUGCUAAUUAUUAUAUAAACUAAGGUAGUGUUGCUUUGCAGCUUCGUGUGGGCAGAAGCUGGCAAACAGGCUGACCUUGAGAAGCAGGUUGGAGUUGGCGGCUAUGGUUACCCAGCUUUGGUAGCUCUGAAUGUUAAGAAAGGUGCAUACGCUCCGCUAAAAAGUGCUUUCCAGCAUGAUCCAAUAAUGUAAGCUCCCCUAUCGAAGUAUUCUUUUGUUUUCUUUGUUUAUAGAAGUUGUUUAAUACGUCCCUCGGCAGAGAACGACUUACUAAAACUUUGUCUCCAGUGAAUUUGUGAAGCAAGCCGGGCUUGGCGGCAAGGGGAAUCUACCUCUAGAGAAAACCCCCACCAUUGUUCAAACAGAACCAUGGGAUGGCAAAGAUGGCGAGAUCCUUGAAGAGGACGAAUUUUCGCUCGAGGAGCUCAUGCGAGAUGACACUGCAACGAAAGACGAGUUGUAACAAACGAUCAUUUCCGCAGGGACGAAGGUGUGAGGAAGUGUGCUCGAAUCUCUCGGGAUUAUUUGCACUGCUCAUGCAGUUUUACACUUAGCUCUCCAAAGACUCGAGUUCUUUUUAGCUAUGUUUAUCUUUAAUAUCAAUUGACAAAAGAACAUUCCCUUUUACGGGGUGCAGAAUGAAACAAAAGGUUAAAUCCAGCAUGAGUUUUAUUAUAAACUUAUAACUCUUGUAGUGAUUUUAUGUUUUUAAUGGCGACGGCGCGAGUUUUUAUUUGAUACUAGUGUGGUGUAGAUUUUGGAAUCAAGUAGGUAUAAUGUAGUAAAUGCCAGCAACACGACCCACAAAUCUAGCAUGCUUCUGUCCACAGAGAUUGUUGAUAGGUUGGUAUCAAUGUAGAAAUUUUUAAUUGAUUAAUACAUUGUCUUCUAUUAUAUAGAUUUGCUAAAUGUAUCAAUAGCUCAAGAGAACUCUUCCGCAGGGUACACAAAAACAUAUGCUUUGCGUAUUCUUUUUUAUUUUCUAUAUGUGAUGUUCGGGGCUGAUAUAAUAUUGAUACUGCAGAAAUUGUUAGUCCUAAUGAAAUUCGGCGUUUCUCUCGACGUCGGCACCGUAUUUGUCUACGCGGCCUACGACUUCCCCCUGUUUGAGCGGUGGCCCCGCGAACGCAUUAUACAAGCGAUCCAGCGCCAACAGGAUGGUCUUAUCGUCACCGUCGAUUGAACCGUCCAAACCACUCCAAAACCCUAAAGAGAAAGAAAAUAAGCCCACAGCCACCCCUCGAGAACACGCACUCUUUCUCUCUCGAACCCUAAUUCCCCUUCCACCCUCGCCCUCUUCUCCCUCUCGCCAUCGCGGAGAUGGCCCCGAAACGCCCCGCCGCUGCGGACCCCGAAUCCUCGUCCUCCGAGGAAGACGAGCAAGAGGAGGAAGAGGACGUGAACCUCUCCUCCCCUCCCCCCAGGAAGCCCCCCUCCUCGUCCUCCUCCAAGAAGCCCGAGAACCCCUCCUCGAAGCCCCCUCGCAAACCUAGCGGCGACGAGGACGAGGAGGACGACGACGAGGACGAUGGCUCCGGCUCCGACGACUCCGAAGACGACGACGACAAGAGCAAGAAGAAGCCCCCUCCCCAAUCCCAAUCCCAAUCCCAAUCCCAAUCCCAAUCCCAGUCCCAACCGCAACCCCAACUCAAACCCCACCAACCCCCGAGGAAGACGACGAGGAGCCCCCCCCGGCCCAGCGCCCGUCCCGCGGCGUCGACCCCUCGAUCAAGCCCAUCAGCUCCCGCCCCAUGGACGCCUCCCCCAAGCCCAAGAAACCCUCCUCCUCCCCCUCCGAGCCCCCUUCCAAGAAGCCCAAGAGCUCCUCCUCCGACGCCCCCCCUUCGGAGCAGAAGCGCCAGCUCUUCCAGCGCCUCUGGGGCCCCGACGACGAGAUCGCCGUCCUCCGCGGCCUCGCCGAGUACCGAUCCAAGAAGGGCUCGCUCCCCUCCUCGUCCCAGGACGUGGACGCCCUCCGCGGCCACAUCCGCGGCGCCCUCCAGCUCGAGGUCACCAACCAGCAGCUCUCCGACAAGAUCCGCCGCCUCAAGAAGAAGUUCGCCACGAACUCCGCCCGCGGCAGGAGCGGCGCCGACCCCAAAUUCACCAAGGACCACGAGCGCGCCGCCUUCGAGAUGUCCAAGAAGAUUUGGGGCGCGGCGAGCAAGAGCUCCCCCUCCGCGAAUGCCGCGGCGGAUGCCGACACCGACGAGGAAAAGAGCGAGGAGAGCGACGACGAGGCGGGCAGCGAGCAGAACGCCAAGGAGGAGAACAACAACAACAGGACGCGGCUUGCGGCGGUGGCGUCCGUGGCCAACGGCAAAGCGGAGCACGAAAGGGGGAAGUUUCCGCUCCCGUACCUCAAGGAGGCGGUCGACGAGCUCGCCAAGGAGCACCCUUGCGGGGCCGCCUUCAAAAGGGCUUUCGAGUUCCUCGACGAGCCAAAGGCGAAGGGGAUGGAAGAGAAGCUCAAGAAGCUUAGAAUGGAGGAGAUCAAGCAGCAUUUGCGGCGGAUGGAUCUGAUGAAGGAGACCGUGAAGAUGAUGCUCGAAGCUCUCGCAAAAUCUGAUUGAUGGGCAAGUUGGAAAUUCCUCCUCCUCUGUUCUCUCUUUCCUUUUGUGCAAUUACUCUUUCUAGUUCUUGUUGAUGGACUCGUAAGUGCUUUGUAGGUUGAUGGGAUUUUCCGCCUAAAAUUUCUCUGCUUCUGUAUCGCUUAGAUAUGUCCUUGUUCUUGUUACAUAUAGCAAGAUGUGUCUUAUUCCAUGGAUCUUCACUCACUAAUGUUUAGGAACCGGCGAUUUAUUGUUAAAGUAUUUGGUUUACUCCUGUUCCUCAUCUGAAGUAUAGUCAUGAAUUUACAUCUUGUUCGGGAUGUUUUCUUAAAUCACUAAUUUGCACAAAUUAGUAUUUAUUUAGUGGGUGUUAUUUCAAUUGAUUUGUGAUGAUUUUAGAAUGAUUUCAGUAAGCGUAAGUAAAUCUGAUGGUUGAAGUCUUGCUAUCGUUUAUGUUUCUCACACAUGGUUUUUUGGGUAUGUUAUGAAACUAAGAACAGAGCAUGGAAAGUAAACAUGGAAUUCAAUCCAACACCAUUCAUUCCAAACAAAAGAAUUCAGGCCCAAAAUCAGUUCACUUGAAUUCAAGAAAUUUACAAACCAAUUCAAUUCCAUCUUGAUUUGAUACCAAACCUCUUGCUAAUAUUGAAAUGACUAUCAAAUAGUGUAUGUUUGUUUUUUUUUUCUCUUGCCAUAUUAGGUUUUAUGCCAGUUUUACAAGUAUUAAUUAAUCUGAAGAUCCUGUAAAUCUUUACUAGAUAAAAGAUCUUAUUAUGUAAUUUCUGUGUACUGUGGGAUUAAGGUAUUACAAUUGUAGUUGUGAGCUCUUUUUUUUUUUUUUUUUUUUUUGAAACUACACUGAAAUGCAUUGCCUAUUCAACCCCAUUUUAUUCAACUCCAUUUCGUAGGGAAUAGUUCAGACGNUUUUUUUCUUUUUCUGCAUUAUUUUAUUGUAGUUCACUGUACUUAUGAAUCAUUACGUUUGUACUGUUUUGUGUAUUCUUUAUUUGUUGCUCGAGGUAUCUUCUGGGUUUUGCGCUAAUUAAGUUGUACUGUGAGUGCAGGUACGUAAAAUUUGUUUGGAUCAAUGAAUAGGUAUACCAUGUUAUCUAGUCAUCAUAGUAGUUUUCUCUCAGUCCAAUUGUGCUCUCUCAUAUAUCUAGGAAACAGUUUAAAUUUGUUAGCAAGCAAUUUGGCCAUAGAAAAUUUGUUUGAAGUUUUCUAGUAUUUAAAGGAUUGCUUAAAAUGUGAAAUGGGUUUCUUUCUCGGAUAGGUUUUGGGAGAAACUUACGAUUUCCGAUACUUCUGUAUAUCUUUAUUCAUGAUAUUAGCAAAGUUUAGCCAUCAUUUCUGGUAUCUCAAGUUCUCAACCAUGAGAAUGCCUUCAUUUUAGAGAACUAAUUUUACUGUCAUUUUUUAUUUAAGGGAACUUAGCCUCCGUUUGGUUCGGGGUUAAGGAAAAAAUAACUAUUCCAGAAAUAGAGUUAAGUUCAGGGUUAAAGUGGGGUUAAACUUUUUUUGUGUUUGGUUGGGGGUUGGAGUUAGUCUAGAAUAAUGAAAAACAGUGUUUGGUUGGAGUAGGUGGGAUAAGAAGAUAAUGAUUGAUAAAGAAGGAUAAUGAUUGGUUGGAGUAGGUGAGAUAAGAAAGAUAGUGGGUUAUUAUGAAUAAAAAAUAGUGUUUGGUUGGAGUUUGGUGGGAUUAGGUGGGGUUAGCUAAUCCGGGAUAAUUUAUUUGAGGUGGGGUUAGGUGGGGUUAGCUAACCCCACCUAUUUUUUAGGAUGUUUGGGGAUAAUAUAGGGGUUAAGGGAUUAUUCCACCCCUUAACCCCCAACCAAACAAGGGCUUAGGGAAUAAAGGUAGAAUAUUUUUACAAGUAAACUGAGUCUUUUUUACUUUCCCUGUGGGACAUCCGAAUCAAGGAUCAAUAUGUUGAUCGUAUGUUAUAUACGAUUUAGGCUAUUUGUAAUUCUGGAAUCUGCUUUUAAUUUUUAGUAGUAGUCUAGCUUUAUUGGGAGCUCAUAUAUUCCCAAAAGGAUAAAUAAUUUUACAUGUGCGCUGAUAUGUAACCUCCCUGUAAAAGUAUGAAUAUUGUCAUCAGUUAGAGGGACUCGAAAUUGGAUUCUGAAGCUUGAGUUGAUAUAAGAUCUGUUCUUUCGGAAUUCCAUAGAUCUGAUCCUGUACUUUCUAUCUUGGGAUGAUUGAUUGAUGUGAAAUAUUCAAAGUUUCCCGGCUCCAGGUUUAUAAUUUUUGUAAUGAUCUACUCUCUUCUCUUUUUUGUUGGGAGGUAAAGGCCCUUAGGCAUUAUUAAUUAGUUUUGUUAAAAGUUCAUUAAAUUUAAUAUUUUAAUUAUUUCUUACUAGUUAAUUGUUGUUGCUUUAUUUAUUUAAAAAAAUAUAUAUAUAACCUUUAAAUUUGAUGAAAAUAGGUGAUAAAAUUUGAUAAAAUUUUAAUUUAUUGGGAACUUUUGCUCUCUCUUUUUUUUAAAUAUUAAAAAGUUUAAAAGAAUUGAUUAAACUCUAUGGAGUUUUUAAGGAUAAAGGGUUGUAAUCAAUGUCAAAAUAGCUUAUAAUUGACUGGGCUUUCAUGCAAUUUUACCCAGCCUGUAUGAACAAAAGGAGAUAUAAAACGAUCAGUGAUUAUUACCUCCUCUUACCCGUGAAUUUGAAGGGGGUGUUCGAGAACCACGUUAAAUUUCUUUUUACUAAAUACAUGUAGCAUUAUAUUAUUAGAUCUAAAAAAACAUAUAAAAACAGGAAAUAGAGUGCAAAUCUCUGAGUUCUUGUUUGUUUCAUCAAAGGUGGAAACUCAUGUUGAAAUAAACUUUUCAACAAACUAAAGUUCAGGUAACGAUUACUCCAUUUUUGUUGUUUGUUUGUAUUGCUAUGGAUCUAAAGUCUUUUUAGUUUUACUGGUUUGUUUGUAUUGCUAAAGUUUUUUUAGUUUUACUGGUUGCUUGGCAGGAACUAGGAAGUUGAUAUGCUAAUAUUUAUUAUAGUUUUGGUUAAAAUAUAUAGACACUCCUGAACUUUACCCCAUUUAGAAAUUGAUCCCUAAUUUUUUUUAAAUUUGAAUUACACUCCCCUACUUAUUAAUUUAAGCUCUCUUCUUUGCAAUUUUUGAAAUUCAGUUAAAAUGAAAAAAAAAGGCCAAUAAAAUACAAAGCAAUAAAAUACAUUUGCAGUUUAAAUUUGAUCAACAUAUGAGAUCCAAGUUCGAAUCCUAGUUGAUUCACAUUUUCAGCUUCGUUUAUUUCUAAAUGAAAUAAACGAAGCAGGUACCGUGCUACCUAUCUCUCUCAAAAAAAAAUUUGAUCAACAUAUUUUAGUUAUAAUUAGUAUAAAUAUAAUGCCCAUAAAAUAGUGGGUUAUAAGUUAGGAAGUUAAACAAUAUUAAGUAUAUUAGAAUUUACAUAAAAAUUACAUCUUAGAAAGUUAAUGGUCCUUCAAUUUUUCUAAAAUACUACUUAUUUAUUGGCUUAUCAAGAAAAAUUCGACUGAAACAAUAAAUCCUAAAAUUACUGAAGAAGCGUUUAAAUCAAACUUUUAGUAAGUAGAGAGGCUGUAAAUCAAAUAAAAAAAAUUCAGGAGGUAAUUUCAAAUUCUGCUAAAAUUUAGAAGUUGUCUAUACAUUUUUAACCUUUUUUUUCUUCACAUAUUUUUUUUCAUAAGUAAUUUCUCUCUAGAAUGAGUCUGAGACAAUUAUAAUUUUUUUAAAAAUUUAAAUUUUAACUGAAAAUAAAGUUAUGACUUAAAGUGAAAGAAUACACAGGUACUCCAAUUUGGUCUGUUUGGUUAAGGAAUAAAGCGGGGAUAACGAAAGUUAUUUCUACUAUUACAUCAAUCGAGUGAUUUUUAUCCAAAAUUUACUGUUUUUGACUAUUCCAACAUAACUUUUGAUAAACUAUUCCAUUUUUUUUUUUGGAUAAUAUUAUUUUAAUAUUUAAUUUUAAGUUUUAUUAAAAUUAUAAAUUGAAUUAAAAUUAAAUAAUGUAAACAUAAUAUAUUCUAUAUGAGCAAUGCUACUAACACAUCCCAAAAUAGGAACUAGGCUGGAAUACUAUCAAUAUCACAAAUCUAUUGGUUCUAUUAGUUUUUUAACCUUUGGAUUGAAAAAUGUACGGCUAGAAUGACGUGGGCCCCCUAGGGUUGAGUCGGUGGUUGGUUGAAUAGUAUAAUCUAAUGGGUAAAAAUAAUCAAAUGGUUAAAUCUAAGGGUUAAAAAACUAAUAGCACCAAUAAGUUGAUGCUAUCGAUAGUAUUCCAGCUGAACUCUCCAAAAUAGAAUAUACAUCUUACACCCACUAUAUCUAAGGGCUAAAAAUUAUUUAGAUUUUUGUGAAUCUUAGGAUGGAGCUGUAAGAUCUACACUCUUCAAAACACAACUAGAAUUUCUCAUUAUAUAUUAUAAUAAAUUAUUUUUAUUAUAAAAUUAUUUAUAAUAAAUUCAACUCUUAUUUUCUUUCACUAUUCUCUACUAUUCUAUCAAAUUAAUCAUAUAUAAUAAUUUUAGUUAUUUUUAAAAAUAGCAGCGUCAUCAACUAAAUAAGAUUUUAAUUUUAUUGCUGAAUAUUUCAAAAUUAUUUGAGAGGUAAAAAAUUAUAUCUAAUAUUCUUAAUCCUUGGGAAAAAAAAAGAUAAAAAAAAAAAACGGGGCCUAAAAGAUCGGCAUUUGCGCUCGCCUCCCCAGUUCCCAGUUCCCACUCCGCACUUCUCUCCACCAUCCAACCAACGCUCUCCACCCGACGUGGUCCGUUUCUACCCAUACAUACAUAAAUACAUCAUAAUACAUAACACACAUAACACAUAACACAUAACACAUUACAUCAACACCGCUUCCUCUCUCUCUCUCUCUCUUUCUCUCUCUUGCUCACCGCUCGUCUCCACCUUCCUCGUCCACACACGCGCGCGCACACAAACCCACGCCCAAGAGCGUCCAAAGAAGGGGGUGGGGUGGCGGGGGGGGAGGAGGAAUCGAUCGAUCGAUGGGGGACUCGUCGGUGGGCGCCCUCGUCCCCUCCGUGGUGAAGGCGGAGGCGGCGGCGGCGGCUCCCGCGACCUCCGCAUCCGCCCCGGCGCCGUCCUUCUCGGAGACCACGGACGCCGCCGGGGGCGCCGCGGCGGCUGCGGCGGCGGCGGCGGCGGCGGCGGCGGAGGAGGAGAGGGGCCCGGCCAUGGCGGUGGAUGCGGCGGCGGCGGCGGCGGAGCUCGACAAGGACCUGCUUUGCCCCAUAUGCAUGGGGAUGAUCAAGGACGCGUUCUUGACCGCGUGCGGCCACAGCUUCUGCUACAUGUGCAUCGUCACCCACCUCAACAACAAGAGCGAUUGCCCCUGUUGUUCUCACUACCUCACCAAGAACCACCUCUUCCCCAAUUUCCUCCUCGAUAAGGUUUGAAUUUGUCCCUAUAAUUUGUUUCUGAGUUCAAAUUGGGUUUUUUGAGUGAGGUGCGGUUGGAAUUUUUGUAAAGAUCGCAUCUUUCUUGAUCGUGUGGGCUUAGAACUCGUCUCCCUUUUUCUCUGAUCUGGUCUAUGGUGCACUUGGUGAAUCCAUUUUUGGGAUUAUACCUAUACAAGUGAACGAACUGCUAAUGCACAAAUAGAGGCUAAGAAUUUCACACCAAUUUGAACAAUUACUUGUGCACUAUAGAUUGAAUUGUUGAAUAAUCAGGGACAAGGGUGACCAAACUACUACUUGGUCGGAUUGGUAUGUAAUUCUUAGAAUUGAAUGAAAGUAGGCAUGCGUAUUAGAAAUCCACCUAGUAUGUUUUACAAGUAUUGAAGGAGGAAAGAAAUCUCAAUUAAAGUGUUCAUUUGACUUGUAUGGUAGAUUGGUGCUUAAAGCAGUAAUUUCUUGUAGGUACUGAAAAAGACCGCAGCCCGUCAAAUUGCAAAAACUGCAUCACCUAUGGAGCAUCUUCGUCUAGCACUGCAACAGGUCAGUGGUUACUUCACAUUGAUACAUGGGUGUUGCUGGUGCACAAUGUUGGAAGUGCUGCUAUGAAACUUCUGUUCCGUAUACUAAACAGGGAUUUAUCAUGUUUUGGCACAUAUCAGGAGGUAGUAUGGAGUUUUUGCUAUCUUGCUUUGUGCUGAAAUUCUUGCCCAUGGCUUCAUAUAUGAUGGUUAAUAAUAUGUUCAGCUGUUUGAGUAUGACUAAAAUUUACACUUUUCGAUACCUAUUUUUUUUAUAAUGACAGGAUUUUAGAAGAUUCUUCUAUCAUAAGUUUUCUUACUAUAUUUACAGCCUUUGAGCAAACGAAGUGAGAGACUAACAUCAUUCAGCUCUAUGGCAUGUAGAACAUUAUACUUUUAUGUAUACCUUAGUUGGAUUUUUAUCAUUCAACAUUUGGCGAUGUUUGCAUCUUUCUCUAUCUUGGUAUUACUUUUGUUUAAUGUAUUAUCCGAUAGAUUGUUUAUUUAUUUUUUUAAUAACUAUUCUACUGAAAUCGGUGAAUAUAUUCAUCACUCAUGUGACAGUCCAUAUAUGCAGGACUUUUUUCUAGCUUCUCAGCUUCCAUCUACUAGGUUUACAGCCUUUUUUCAUGUUUGUCAUACUGUAUGGAGACAACAGCCAUUGUUUUUUUCUAUGGGUCAAUCCAAAACAACCAUAAGGCUAUCUUUAAAGUUGUGAUAAGACUCUCUGACCCAUCAUAUCUCAUAAUGCUUAGAAUAUCUGUGUUCUUCAGCGGAAUGGAAGCCUGUUCACUUUUUGUUAUCUGGAAGAAACUGUUCUCUAACUUUUCUCGGUAAUGUUUCUAGUGUUGUGGGCAACUGAGCAUGCCAACUUCCAUCCUAUAUAGAAUUUAUUCUUAAAUGAAUUAAUUUAAGUGGGAGUGUCAGUCCAGGUGCCGGAUUUGUGCUUGGAGAUUACUAUAAGCAAUUUCUUCUUCGAAUAUUGGUCGGAUGGUUGGUUGGUUGCUUGGAUAGCUAAUUAUAGGAAAACUAGUCCAUUCGAUGUUAUAUCGAUCCGGUCGAUCUUUUUUGUGAAACAAGGUUUUAAGUGCCCGUCGGCACGGGCCGUAUCCACUGUACCGCACCAUGCCAAUAAUAUACCGGCACGAUACAGAUCCCGUGCCAAUGGCAUAGCUCAAAACCCUCUAUUCUUUAAAUUAGUAAGUAAUUUUCUCAAUAAAGUUCAAAAGAUGUGAUAAAAAGACAUAAUAAAUAGUUAGAAUAUUUUGUUGCUAAAGAAAAUAAAUAUUUCAUGCUAUUAUGUGUCGGCACACAAGAAUUUUUUUGACCGGCACGCAUCAGCACGGCUUGGCGCGCAUCGUGCCGUACUGUGCCGGCAAGUUUCCGGCACGAUCCCGUGUCACGGCACUUAAAUCCUUGUUGUGAAAUUAUAUCGCUUUGUUGCUGAGUAUCUGCAAUUUUAUUCAAAAAGACCAUAGCUUUAGUAACUUUUUAUCAGUAAUGUUCAUGCAGAGGAACUGCAUGUGUUUCAUCAAUUGAAAUUCAACUGUUACCAUUAUUGUAGUCAAGUAGAAUAUUAGUCAUCUUAAAAAUCACGGAUCAUCUUUUGCAGACUUAGAUGGCUCUUUUCUUGUAGACAGGGAUGUGAAAUGUCAGUUAAGGAGCUAGAUGGCCUGUUAAGACUUCUUGCUGAGAAAAAGAGGAAAAUGGAACAACAAGAGGCCGAGACAAACAUGCAAAUACUGCUUGAUUUCUUGCAAUGCCUGAGAAAGCAAAAACUAGACGAGUUGAAUGAGGUUUGCUUUUGUAAAUUUGAUUUUGUUUCUUUUGUAGGCCUUCUGUAUUUCCACCUUCUGUGGCUAUCUUAAAAUCUGAAUUUUCAUAUACGCACUUAAAAAACAUAAUUUCUCAACUAUGUACCAUUCUACUUGCAGAAGAGACCCUCUUUGAAAUGCUUUUUUGCAUAUGAAACCAACCUCCCCUAGUGGGUCGGGGUGAGUCCCCAACUUAUAUGUUGAAACUUAGAUUUACAGUGCUAUAUGUUGUAUUAGAUAAUAAUUUUGUCAAGAUGUAUAUGUAAUAUAUCACUGGUGUUAUUUUAAAACUUUUUGUUAUCUUUUCUUAAUGUUUCUUCGUAGGCCAGUUAGUUCUGCUUCUAAUCUAUAUUGUGAGGCUAGCGUAUCGUACUGGAGUGUAAGUUCAUAUCCCUUUGGUUCUGCAGGUGCAAACUGAUCUACAGUACAUCAAAGAAGAUAUAAGUGCUGUGGAGAGGCACAAAAUAGAAUUGCACCGUGCCAAAGAGAGAUACUCCAUGAAAUUGCGCAUGCUUUUGGAUGAUCCUGUUGCAGCGAAGAUGUGGCCUUCCACAGCUGACAAGAAUAGCAAUCUCUUUCUCUCCAAUGCUCGCAACUCUCUUGUUGGUGUUUGUUCUGGAAAUUUACAGGGUAAGAAAGUUGACAUGAAGGCCCAAAAGAACAAUCAAGGCUUCCAAAGAAGAGAUGGUUUUACCGGUUCAGAGCCACCAAAUCCUCUAAUUCAAUCAGGAGUUGCCAUAGCUAGAAAGAGACGAAUCCAUGCACAGGUUUAAGUCUAUCAUACUUUUUAUUGGAGAUACUUUUUGUAGUAUCUCUCGUCAUUACUUAAGUUAAAAGUGAAUUUUAUAUUAUAUGUCCAAUUUUUUUUAAUAUUUUCUAAUUCUUGCACCUCAUAUUUUGUUAUCGAACUAAUAUAGUUCUUCCAAACUUCUAAAUGAUUAUACCUUUUCAGUAACAUAAUUACCUAAAAGUAAUCUUUGUUGUUCUUGUUUUGUUCGCUCUAAAUUGACCUUAAUUUAUGUACUAUUCUAAUCGUGCAGUUUAGUGAACUCCAAGAAUAUUAUUUGCAAAAACGGCGUCUUGGUGCAAAUCAACAAAGUAGACAAGAAGAAAGAGAGAUUAACAGUAUAAGCAAAGAAGGCUAUCAUGCAGGUCUUGAGGACUUUCAGUCUGUGCUGACAACAUUUACUCGAUACAGGUCCAGCAAUUAAUUGAGUUCUUAGUCAGGUUUUGAAUUUGAUGCUUUUUGCAUUUGGUUGAUAAAAAGAUCAUUGUACAUAUAUAUUUUUUUGCAUUAUUAAUUUCUAAGAUCCUAUUGUGAUUUAUUUCUCCCUGUUUUCUUUUUCAUUCUUGUACACUUUUGUAUAAUUCAGUCGCUUGCGUGUCAUCGCGGAACUUAGACAUGGAGAUCUCUUUCACUCAGCAAAUAUUGUAUCAAGGUGAGUAAACGGUGGAAAGAAUACUUUGAACUUCUGCAUAUAUCUUUUUUUUAGUGUUACUGUUUUUGUUCUUUAACUAGCUUUGCUGGUUUUGCCAUUAGGCUUGCUGCUCAUUUUACAAAUCUUGAUAUUAGAAUUGGCAUAUGUGGCUUUUAUUUUACAAGUUAAAAUGUGUUCAUGUUCCUUCCAUAUGUAGAUUAGUUUACAGCCUUGUAACUUAUAAAAGCUUUAUUGCUUUUUAAAAGCUUUCAGAAACCUUUCACCCGACAAUGGGCUUCCAUCAUUACUUCAAAGGAUCCAGCUGGGUUGAUACCUUUGAAUAUUUGAAUAGAUUACAAGUGCUUGGAGCUAGAAAAUUCAAAAGGAAGAGUUACUUGGCAUGCACCUUUAUAUCAGGCAAAGAAUAUAUUCAUGAACUAGUCAUCCAUCACACUUAUUUCCGUUACAUGCAAUGAAGUUAGUGUUGCUUGUUGUUAUUAAACCAAUCUGCGGGUAACAUGAAAUCCAAAAAGUUUACAAAAUGGAGCCUGAUAUAAUGUCUUAAUUAUGGGAAAUACGUUAUGAAAUAGAACACAACAUUUCUAGCAUUUCUUUUUAUUAUUUUAAAAAUAAAAAGAACAAUGAAAAAAAAAUAAAGUUUGAAAGGAAGAAUAUGUUAUGAAAUAGAACACAUUAUUGGCUUCAACUGUUAGUAGAUCUAAUAGAUCUCCUAGUAGAGAAGUAUAUCAACAUUUCUAAAUAUCUUUUAUUAUUUAAUUUUUUGAAUUAAAAAAAGAGAAUGAAAAAAUAAAAAAGAAAAAUUUGAAAAAAAAAACACUAUGGUUUAUGAAAUUAAACACAUUAUUGGCUUCAAAUGUUAGUAGAUCUAAGAGAUCUACUGCUAUCUCAACAUUCCUAUCCUUUUCUUUUAUUACUUUAAUUUUUGAAAAUUAAAAUAAUAAUAUAGUAAACUAAAUUUAAAAAAAAACAUUAUGCAAUAAAAAUAUUAUUAGCUUCAAAAGUCUAAAUGAUAGUAGAUUUAAGAGAUCAUUAUCUUGGCAUUUCAAAUCGUUUAUUUCUUAUUCUAAUUUUCAGGGUAUAAAAAUAAGAAAAAAGAAUAAUAAAAAAAGAAAAAAAAACUUGUAAAAAAAGAAUAACACAGAAUUGAAAGAUUUUUCAUUAACAGUCAUGAAGAAACCUAAAAAAUCUUGAUCUACAAAUUCUUAAGUUACAUGAUAGAAGUGGCCAAAAAAAGGCUAAAAAGACCAUAGAUCUAUAUCAUGAACAAGGUCAAUGUUAGAAAUUUUACCUUUAAACUUCUUCAAAUGCCAAAAUCCUAUUGUUUUCUGGAGGGAAUAAGAGAAAAAGAAAGAGGAGAUUUCUCUCUCUCUCAAAUUUCACAGCUAUGAUUAGGUCAAACAGGACCAAAAGCGGUCUUUACUGCCUACCUAUACACAUCAUUUGGAGGUCUGUGACCAUCAAAACGUUUCUUUCGACCACCAAAACUGGCAUGGGGCGACACAGAGUGGCACACCGUGAGACAUGGUGGUACACCCAGCAUUUCUGGGUGCCGGGCGACAUGGGCCUAUGUCAUGUGCUGGCACGCCAUUGGCAAGGUAUGGUACGGGCGGCACAGGCCUGUGCUGCUGGCACAGGCAAUCCUUGGUUUCAGACAAGGAAACAUCGAUGUCAAAAUCAUUUGAUAGUUACGAUCCACAGUAAUUGCAGCCCGUUUACAUUUUUGAGUUUCUUUCCUGCUUAAUUGCUAAGUCCAGAGCAAUUUUAUGAUACUUUUUAAGAUGCAGCAUAGAGUUUGAUCGUGAUGAUGAGCUGUUUGCCACUGCUGGAGUUUCAAAACGUAUUAAAGUCUUUGAAUUCUCCACAGUAAGCUUUUCUAUCUUCUUAUCUUGUAAGUACUAGUUUCACCCAAAGAUAUUAACCUCUUUAUCUUGUAUUUUCAACAGGUUGUAAAUGAACCGUCAGAGGUACACUGUCCUGUUGUAGAGAUGUCAACCCGGUCCAAACUUAGUUGCCUAAGUUGGAACAAGUACUCAAAAAACAUUAUUGCAAGCAGUGACUACGAAGGAAUAGUGACUGUUUGGGAUGUAAAUACUCGCCAGGUAUCUAUGUUUGUUUUCAACAGCCUUUCCUUUUCAAUUACCAUCUAAUCCCAUUUUUAGUUUCACUGAUUGCUACAAAUGUGGUGGGUAAGAAAUGUUCAUUACUCUGUAUAUCCAGAGCGUGAUGGAAUAUGAAGAGCACGAAAAGAGAGCAUGGAGUGUUGAUUUUUCACGCACAGAUCCAUCAAUGCUAGUAUCUGGUAGUGAUGAUUGCAAGGUAAUCCAAUACUGCAAAUGUUAUCUAUGUAUUACUACUACUAUUACAUCUUCCUAUGCCUCUUGACAUGUUAACUAUUACAACUGACGAAAUGUGACUUGUUAAUACUGAGACAUUAUCUUAUGUAGUACAUCUUAUCUGAUUUUUAUUUGGCUGCAUCUUACUCCUGACAAACAGGUCAAAGUUUGGUGCACAAAGGAAGAAGCCAGUGUGGUUAAUAUUGAUAUGAAAGCAAAUAUCUGCUCUGUCAAAUAUAACCCUGGAUCAAGCAUUUAUGUUGCUGUAUGUAACUAUAAACUGUUACUUGUUAUGUCUUUUUCUGUUAAUACUUAAUAAAGGCACCGGUAUAGAUAACAUCAUUUUUCAGGUGGGGUCUGCUGAUCAUCACAUUCACUAUUUUGAUUUGAGAAAAACAAGUGCUCCAGUCCACGUUUUUAGAGGGCACAGAAAAGCAGUUUCCUAUGUGAAGUUCUUAUCUACCAGUGAGCUUGCAUCUGCGUCAACAGAUAGUACAUUGCGCUUAUGGGAUGUAAAAGAUAAUUCUCCUGUAUGUGCUUUCAAAGUUGUCCUUAUCUGUGUAGUUAAUUUUAUAUGGCAAUCUUUAUUUUGCAAAGCUGUUUUUGUUUGCCACCUUAUCAGCAGCUUCUUUUGGUUAUUACCAUUUCCAGAUAGAACAAAAUAAAGUACAUGACUCGCAUCAUAUGGACUUGCACAAAUUUCCUAUAUUUCUCCCACGAACUCACAUGUGAGAUACAAAGAAAUUUUCUUCGUUGAAAGAAUUUUUCUACAUUAACAUACCAGUAUAUAGUUAGUGGAGUAAGUUCUGGAAGUUCAAUUUAGGUUGAAAUGUGUUUACUUCUGACUAGUCAAUAUGGCAAGAUGGAAAUUUGAUGCUGAAUCUUGUCGUUGCAUGCUUUCCACAUUUGGUUUUCUUGUUCUUGUAAACCACUCUUUCAUAGAUGGUUACCUCUAUCCAACCUUUAAUGAUUUGAGAUCCUCUAGCUUCUGUACCCUUGCGCAGUUAUUGUAAGUAAUAUCUAACAGUUCUUGGUUUUCUGGCUUUCAAUGUUAAUUCAGAUUUAGGAAAAAAGGGCUGAUAUCACAACUUAUUCUCUCAGGUACGCACAUUCAAAGGCCACACAAAUGAGAAGAAUUUUGUGGGUCUUACGGUAAAUGGUGAAUACAUUGCUUGCGGAAGCGAGACAAACGAUGUUUUUGUUUACCAUAAGGUUAGUCAAACAAACUUCUUAAUCUGCUUCCGAUGCCUCCCACAGUUGGCUCAAAUCAUUUUUGUUCCUCGUUUUCAAAAGCUCUCCUCUCUCCUUCGUAUUUUGCUAAGAGAGGUGGACCCCUCAUUCCAAACUAACUUGCAAACCUCGCAGGCCAUCUCUAAGCCUGCAGCUUGGCAUAGAUUCGUAUCGUCCGAUCUGGACGACGCGGAUGACGAUGCCGGAUCAUACUUCAUAAGUGCUGUUUGCUGGAAAAGUGAUAGCCCUACUAUGUUAACUGCGAACAGUCAGGGGACCAUUAAAGUUCUGGUGCUUGCUGCUUGAUUACCAAUGAGCUUUGUACCGAGGACAAAGCUCGCCUUCUUAUGAUUCACUUGUACAUUACAUGUACUUCGUAAGUGGCUUCGACACGCUUUUCUUUUAAUUUAUUUUCUCAUUCUUAUCUGCUAUUCUUAUAUGGAACAAGAAGGCCUUUAUCAGGUCAUCGAUCCUAGCAGCAGUUUUGAAGAUAAUCAAUCAGGUUUAGGCAGAUUAUGUACAUACAGCAACUUGGUUUACACAGUAUAUUAAUGCACUGUUGUUGAUCUGAUAUAUCAUGCAUUUAACAUUAGUGCAGGUGCUUCCAUUAGUAGUUUCUGAGAUUUUUGUUUUUCGUGGUCGACAAUUAACAAUCUUUUUCUCCAAUUAAAUGUGGACCGUGCUUCUGUGAUGAGAAAUUUUUAUCCAAUUCGCUCGUUGGCUUUGUGAUUGCGCGGGCUGAAAGCAAGAGUGGCUGAAUUUUUCCAUUUGUUUCUUAUGUCGAUGAGAUAGUUAUGAUAUUUUAUUUGCGGUACCACCGAAGAACGGAGGAAUAUAUGAGCUAUUUAAUGUGGUAGGGCCGUAAAAGUCAAAAUCUUAAACAUUUCAUGUUUGGGUCUAGAAGAAUCGCAAUUUUGAUUCAGUUUUAAAGGUUGGGGGUUCAAACCCCCAACCUUUAAAAUAGUCUCUUAGAACAACAACCAACUACCACAGCGGCAGUCAAGAUCAUGCGACGAUGGAUUACUAUCAUAGUAUGAAAUCACUAAUGAUUUUUUAUUUGAUAGUUUACUAGAAUAUUUUUUAUUUUAUGGCAUGUUUGGUCCAUGAUUGAAGUGAGAAUGAGAAAUUUAAUUAUAUUGUUAUUAGAAUGGAAAUCGGAAUGGAUAAUUGAAAGACUUCAACUUUUGAUAGAAUGUUUUAGUUAAGAGGUAGAAAAGUGGUGAAAGGCGAGAGAUGGGGCCAAUUCAGAAUUCAAAGUCGGAUUGUGGUAUAAAUUUAUUGAAUCAUUUCUAUUCUAGAGUGGAAUGGAUAUAGGAAUAAAACAAACAACAACUAUCGAAAUCAGUAAAAUUCUGAUUUUAAAAUUUGAAAUAGGUGUACUAAAUAACCCCUUAAUUCAUUAUGUCAUUACUCUGUUACUAUCUAUACCUAUAUAUUAUUUUUCCUAAAUUUUUGCCACGUGAUGAAUUCUCCUUCACCGCUGGCUUCCCUCUUCCCACUCUCAUUUCCAUCCAAUGCUUCAUUUUUCUAACCCUUACCUUUUAAUUAAUGAAUUUAUAUAGUCCUAUCUUCACCCAAUAUUUUAUCUUCCUAUCCCUCAUCUCUGAAUUAAUGUAUUUAUAUGAUCUUAUCUCCACUCAAUACUUUAUCUUAAUAACUCCCACCUCUCAAUUAAUGUGUUUGUAUGAUUUCAUCUCCAUCUAAUGCUUCAUCUUUUUAGCUUCCACAUCUCAAUUGCUUUCACAAAAAUAAAUAAGUAAAAUAAAAUUUCUUCGUACUUUUUUUUAUAUUGUUUUUUUUUACUUAUUUUCUUGGCGCACAAAAAGGGCUAAUGUUUUGUAAUUUUUUAAAUUUUUUUUUUUAAUUGUGUGUGGAUUGAAAUUAGGAUUCUGAGAAUCGCGACGGGGCGCGGCAGGAGGAAAUGGUGAUGAAUUUGGAGUCAGUAAGGGGAAAAAAAUAAUGGAUGUGGAAGAAUCUAUACAUAAUUAACAUAGUCGUGACGAAGGAAAAAGCUCGAUACUAGCGGUGAAGGCGAUGUAAAGAUCGGAAUUUGCCUCCCCGACGUCAAUAGGGCGAUGAAGGUGUGUUUGGUGUAGAAAUUUUUUUAUUGCUUUUUUUAUUAUUGUUAUGUGUGAUUUAUUUAUCGAAAUUAUAAAUUUUUCUAUAUCUAUACCUAUAUUUGUUUUAUAUCUUAUAUUUGUAUUUAUUGAAGUUUCAUAUCAAAUCAAAAAAUUUAAAAUUUUUAUUUUAUUUAUAUUUUAUCUUUUAUAAUAUCAUUCCGUCGCAAUGCGCAGGUAACUUUACUAAUUAUUACAUAAAAUUCAGAAAAGCUCCUCUCAUAAUACUAUAGAAAAUUUCUCCACUUCGAAUUUUGUUCAGCAACAGGACACAAAUUAACUACAAUAACUUUGCUAAUCGAAAAGAUGUUAAUUUACAACAAUUUGCUCUUAAAUAUUUUUUUUCUAAAAUAUAAGGCUAUUAAGGUACCAAUUGGGAUUGGAAGUAAUAUCCAAUACAAAUGACUCCCACUAAGUAAUUUAGGCCACUAUUUAUACUGGUGCAAACUAUAACCCCAAUUUUUUAUUUUAUUGAAGAGGUAGCAUGUCUAGUUUUUGUAGAGGUAUUUAAAGGUUAAGAUCUCAAAUUUAUUUUAAAAUCACAAUUCAGCUGUCCUUUUCGCAUAUAUGUAAGUGAUGAUCUAUCAAAAAAUAUAUGUAUCACUAAUUAAUUAGAUUUUUUUUUUCCCCUUUUAUUCACUACUAGCUCUGUUUAGUUCGGGUAUAAGCAAGAGCUGUUUAUUCUAGAGAUAGGUAUAAGCUCAGGUAUAAACUUGAAAUAGACUAAUUUUGCAUUUGGAUAUAAAUUAAGUUGUUAUUAAAAAUAAGAAAAAUAAUGUGUGGAUAGAUAAGAUGAAAUAAAAAGAAUAAUGGGUAGUUAUAAAUAGAAAAUAAUAAUAUUACUCCUUAUAUUAUAUUUGAAUUUAAAUUUUAAAAUUUUUAUAUUCGAAAUUUUAAAUUUAAAUACAUAAAUUUUAAAUUUCAAAAAUUCAAAAUUUAAAAUUCAAUUUUUUAAAUCUCAAAUUUGAAAAUUCAAAAUUCAAAGUUCAAAAUUUUAUAUUUUGUAUUUUAUAUUAUUUAAUAUUAAAUCUAAAUUUAAAAAUCUAAAAUAUCAAAUUUUAAAUUUAAAAAAUUUAAAAUAUCAUUUUAAAAAAUCUAAAUUCAAGCGCCUGGCCUCUCGGUUACCGAGAAACCAACGGCAACUUAAAAAAGAAGAACGAGAAUAUUCCGCACUAGUUUCAAAUUCAACACUAUGGGAUACAACCAAAACUCGUUACAAUUUGCGACCACCAAACUUGGAAACAGGAAACCAUGCACCGGGUUCCAUUGAACCGUUGGAGCCUGUGGAAAUUAACCGAUCGAGUCACUUAUGGGGGAAGUGGCGACUCGCUCAAACUGUGGGCCGCGUCACAUUGCCCUUUGUGAUCCGGUCGAGCCACUUUCAAUUUUUCGUCCUUCUCAAAAAUAUUGAGGCCACAAAAAAAUAAAUAAAUAAAUAAAUUAAUUAAUAAACAAAUAAAAGCCACACAAGUGCCCGAUUGGCUACGAGUCCAUUGGAAUUCCCGCAUGCGCCGCUUCACCACCUCCUAAUUGGCUCCUUUUCGAAACCACUUAAUUAGCACACAGUUUUAAAACUAAAAAAAAAAAAAAUCUAAUUUGAUUUAUAGAUUGAUUAGCGAAUCUUAGAUGAUUAUUCCCCAAAAAAAUACUUUAUUUAUAAACAAAUCUUACAAAUUGCAUAAUUCAAUGGAUGAAUUUCAAUCUUAAAAUUAUAAGUCAUGCUUAUAUCUCCGUAAUUUACACUUCUUCACCAAUUAAACACCCUCAUGCAAGCUAAUUUGUAAAGUAUUGUAAAACUAGUGAAGUUACCCGCGCAUGCGGCGGGUUAAUACUAUAAAAGACAGAAGAUUUAUAAAGUAAAAAUUUAAAAUUUUUUUGAUUUGUUAUGAAACAUCAAUAAAUAUAAAUAGUAUGAAAAAAGAGUAUGAGAAAAUCUUAUUUUUCUAAUUAUUUUUUGUGAAAAUAAUUUGUUUAGAUGACAAUAGGCCAUAUGAUCGAAUGUAUUAAUUAGAAAGUAAACGGGAUAGAAGACGAAGCAUCGAGUGGAGAUAUAUGGGACGUGGGAAGGUGAAGGAUCAGGAAAUGAGAAAAAAAGAGAAGGUAAGGGUGAAGAAAAAACUGUCAUGUGGUAAAUGUUAUGAAAAAUAAUGUAUAGCUAUAGAUUAUUUGUAAGUAUAGUUUGCCCUUCUUUCUAGGUUUAAACUGUAAGCGGGAGCCCAGUAGGAUGAGCCGGAGAAAUUAAGCCAUCUCGAUAACCAAUAUACCACAUGAGUUUGUACUGAAUUAAGAAUAAAGCUGUGCUUAUGAAGAUUCUUAUGAACUUUUUGUAUACUUGUUUAGGUAGCUGUACAUCGUUGAUGGAUGUUUACACAUGACCACGAAAUUGAGAGUGUGGAAAUGCAUGACUUUGUAGAAGGUACGUAUGCUUUGCGUAAGCAUAAACAUUACUACUGAAUUGAUUUUAUUAAGCUACAUGAGAUGAUUGAUAAAGAUCCUAAUAAUAAGUAAUUAUUGAGCCAAUUAGGCGCGGAUGAGAUUUAGGUGCGAAUAUUUCCUUCAAAAGUAUCUUUUGGGUCGUGUAUCGAGAGCACCGGAAAAAGGUAUUGCGCCAAUUGAAGAAAGUUACGGCAACCGCAAGCAGUUACAUGCGGUUCCAAUCGGCUAGAAGUGGUCCGAAAUAUGAGGAGAUAGUGGCCGAUCGUAUAAUAACUGACCGAGGGGGGUUAUCUAUAAAUAGGAUAAUAAUACCCCAAAAAGAGGUUUUCGUCCCUGCGCACAAAAAAACACUAUUAUUUUCCUGUAUCUUCCUUCCUCGCAUUUACUGUUUUCCUAGGAGUAGUUGCUGUAACUUAGAUAUUUGGAGUCUGUCUGCUCUCUCGGCAUCACUUCCUUGAAGAAUACACUUAAAGUCUGCCUGCCCCACGGGCAUCACUCUCCUGUUCUUAUACUUUUUCAUUUUCUAUUCAAUAGAAAGUCACGUUCGGCUAUUCAGGCUGAUCAGAUUUCGUAUUGUGCUAGCCAUUCGGCUCAUCUCCCGGCUUAACUUCUGACUUUUCCCGUAUAUUCGGCUCAUCCAGUCGAACCGGAGAGUAAAAAGAGUUUUCGAACCCGGCUGACCCGAUCCCUCGUCAGCCGAAUCGUUUGAUCUGUCGAAUGGCGCAAACUUCGAGGGUCACUAUUUGCAGCCGUUUCGCAUCCCGACGCGCUCUCAGAGGAGGAUCGUUGACUAGGUCCAGGGUCGGAAAAUUUCGGCACCAACAGUAAUAUAAAAAUUUCAUGCUAAAAUAACUUUUAUACUUUUUAUUUAAAUUUUUAUGUAGAAUAAUUAUUAUAAAAAAAAAUUUCCAUGUCGCAUGUGUGUACUUACUUAGGGCAUAGAUUUUGACUGUGUGUGAAGGCUAGGAGGCAGCACGAGGUUUCGCCCAAGUGCUGUUGUUGUUGUUGUUGUUGUACGUAGGAGAAAAGUAAUAAAUAACAAAAAAUAUAUAUAUGGGUGUUGUUAUUGUGUUCUUUUUAUUUUAUAAAAGGUGGGAAAAUGAUAGUUUCCCACUUCAGUAGUGCAAUGCGCGUUCCAAAAUGUUCAAUGUUAAUUAGAAGUGAUGAUAUUUGUGUUUUAAAUGGAGUUGCACUCCUGGGUAUUAUUAAUUACUCAUCUAGACAAUUUAUAGUUUUGAGACUUGUAGAGUAAAAUCAUUUGAUCCAACUGAUUUUUUUUAUAUAAAAUCAAACUAUUUAAUGUAGGAAAGAUUUUUUAGAUAAUAUUAUUUAUGUCUCGACUUCGUUUGUUGCAUAAUGUGUAAAAUAAAAUAAACCAACUAAAAGUACAAGAUAUAACUUUCAUUAAAUGGCUGUUUUGUUUUAUGUGUUCUUUUUGCAAGAAUCAAAUAACUAGCUUUUAGAUCAUCAAAUAUAAAUAUAUUAUGCUUCUAAUUUUCUAGCCAUCCUUUAAUUUUAAUGGGUGGUUAAGAUGAAAGAGAAAAGAAAAAUAAGGAAGAAAUUAAAAAAAAAAAAAAUUAAGACAUCCAAUUUCACUUCAAUUGAGAAAAGAAAAAUUAAUUAUGUAAAAAUUACUUUUCCACGAGCUAUACCAAAGGGGUACUUAUUCUCGUUAGAAAAAAAAAAAAAAAAAUCCUCUAUUAUUACUACAUUAUUAUAAAUAAUAACGACUUAAUCCACCAUGCAUUACUCUUUUAAAACUUAUGUACAGCAUACGAUGAACCGCCGACAAAAACAACUCUAUUAAUAACGAACAUUAAUUAUUACCGCGCACAAGGAUGUGGUUCAUGGCCAGGUGCUCCGCUCCUUCAUCCACGUACACCUGUUCCUAUAUAUAUGACGCCAUCUUCGACUACGAGGCUUAUAAAAGCCCACGCUCGCUCUCGCCGUUCCGCACCUCCAUUUCCUUUUUAUGUGUUCAUACCUUCGCCCCUAGCUAAUUACUCCGCAAAAUUUUUAUUUUUCGUUUUUUGGUUUUGUUUUAUUCAAGUAGGAUUGAAUAUUUGGUAUCAAAUGGGCACCGCGAUCGUCGACCCGGCCCGAACCGCGAUGGCGAAUCACAUGAAUGGCGGCGGAGGCGGAGGCGGAGGCGGAGGCGGUCGCUUCGCUCCGCCGCCUCUUGCGCAGAUCCUCCCGAGGCGUGCGCCUGAUUCCGACGAUGAGGAGGAGGAGGAGGAGGAGGACGACGACGACGUGGAGGACUCGGAUUGGGCGGCGCUGUGCGGGAGCCACGAGGAGGUGGAGCCCUCGGUGCAGGACCCGCGCGACGAGGGGACGUCGGACCGGUGGGUCCGGCGCAACCCCUCGCUGAUCCGGCUCACGGGGAAGCACCCCUUCAACUCCGAGCCCCCGCUCCCGCGGCUCAUGCACCACGGGUUCCUCACCCCGGCGCCGCUCCACUACGUGCGCAACCACGGGCCCGUCCCCCGGGCCGAUUGGUCCGCGUGGACCGUCGAGGUCGCGGGACUGGUCCGGCGCCCGGCGCGGCUCACCAUGGACCAGCUGGUCCGGGACUUCCCCCCGGUCGAGAUCCCCGUCACGCUCGUCUGCGCCGGGAACCGCCGCAAGGAGCACAACAUGGCGCGCCAAACCGUCGGCUUCAGCUGGGGCCCCGGCGCCGUCUCCACGUCCGUGUGGCGCGGGGCCCGCCUCCGCGACGUCCUGCGCCGCUGCGGCAUUGCCGCGCGCGGGAGCGGGGCCCGCCACGUGCGCCUCGAGGGCGCGGAGGACCUCCCCGGCGGCGGCGGCGGCGGGAAGGGGUCCAAGUACGGGACCAGCCUCCGGCGCGAGGUCGCGAUGGACGUGUCGCGCGACGUCUUGCUGGCCUACAUGCAGAACGGAGAAUUGCUGUCCCCCGACCACGGCUUCCCGGUGAGGGUCGUCAUCCCCGGCUUCAUCGGCGGCCGCAUGGUCAAGUGGCUCCGCAAAAUCACCGUCGCCCCAGAGGAGUCCGACAGCUACUACCAUUACCACGAUAACCGCGUCCUCCCCUCCCACGUCGACGCCGAGCUCGCCAACGCAGAAGGUAUCCAAAUUCAAAAUCAUACUGAUAUACUCUCUUCUCUACUUCGACUUCAGUAGAGCUGAAGGACGCACUAAUAAAAUAAAAUUUUUAAACAUAAUUUAUUUUAUUUUAUUUAUUUAUUUAUUUUUUGAUUUGGUGUGGUGGAUGAAUAAAGAUUGGUGGCACAAGCCGGAGUAUAUCAUCAACGAGCUAAACAUUAACUCGGUGAUCACCACGCCGUGUAACGACGAGAUCCUCCCCAUCAACGCAUUAACCACGCUAAGCCCGUAUACCAUCAGGGGCUACGCCUAUUCCGGUGAGUCCGUUAUUUCGCUUAUUAUUUUUAUUUAUUUACUACUGUGGUAAAAAAAAAAUUAAAAAUAAUAAUAUUUAGAAUUGAUUGAGAUGUUUUUUUGGGUUAGGUUGUUUUUUUUUUUUUUUCCUCCCAUAAUUUUGGUGUCCGCUGAAACUUUUAGUUAGUGAAAAAACAAAAAAAAUAAAAAAAUAAAAACGAAAAGAAAUUAACAGAAUUGAUGAUUGUGGUCGAAAUUGCGACCUAGUAAUUUUUAUCCCAUGAAUUUUGACAUUGCGGUUCCUGUGAGCCUUUUGCUUACCAAUUAAGUAAAGGGAAAAAUAUAUGGAUCAGAAAAUAUAUACUUUUUUAAAAUUACUUGCUCUAUGUAUUUGCUAUUAAAUGUAUAGGCAUAUUUCAAAAUAUUUGGCUCAGAAACUUGCGUCAAUAUAAUUCGAAAUUAAGCCCGAGUUUGCUCGAGAAAAAUAACUUAUUUUGUUAUUACUAAACUGAAUUCAUUAAAAUUAGUUAUCAUUUACUAGAGUAAAAAUAUCUCAAUUAAGUAUUCACUUCGCACAGACUAAACGACGCAAGUUCGAAGCAUAAUUAUUUUAUAUUUCAAAUUAAAUUUAUUUUUUUUAAAAGGAUAAAUAAAAUUAAUAGCACAUUAAUUAUCUUCUAUUCACUUCACCUAAGCUAUUACACACGUUCUUUGAAGGCGGCAAUUUAUAUACAUACAGAGAGAGAGGGGGAAGGAGAGAAAGAGUCCUGUCGGAAUACUAUCGAUAGCACCAAAUGCUUAGUGUUACUAAGUUUUCCGCCGUUAGAUUUAACCUUUUGACUAUUUUCAUUCAUUAGAUUAUAUUACUCAACCAAUGAGUCACUCAGCUCCAAGGGGUCCAUAUCAUUCUAAUCGUAUAUUUUUUCAUUUAAGAACCGAAAAUCUAAUAGCACCAAGCGCUUGGUACAAUUAAUAGUAUUUCAGCCUAGUUCUAUAUAUAUAUAUAUAGAGAGAGAGAGAGAGAGAGAGAAUUGAGCUCCUAUAUUUUUAAAAGUAUCAAGUCAUUAGUGCUUGUAAGUUUUUAGCCAUUGGAUUAAAAGAUGUGCGGUUAGAAUGAUAUGCGCCCCCUUGGGUUGAGUGGGUGGUCGGUUGAAUAGUAUAAUCUAACCGGUGAAUAUGAUCAAAGCCAUUCAUUAUCUACUAUUCACUUCACCAAAUUAUUACACACGUUCUUUGAAAGCCGCAAUAUAUAUAUAUAUAUAUAUAAUCUGCUUAUUAUUUAUUACACUGACUCAUGAGAGGAACAACAAAAGAAAUUUGCCUCUUAUUCAGAAUAAUAUAAAGCCUAUUUUAAAUAUUAUUUCGGCUUGUUUACAACAUGCUGUUUUUUUUUCUUUUUUGGCUUUAUUCCCGCCGACUCACAACGCAAAAAGUCGGCAAUUGAAAUAUUAUUAUUAUUAUUAUUAUUAUUGUUACUACUGUGUCCACUGAUAGUUUAGAAUAACUACUUUUUUAUAAAAAAAAAAAUAAAUUAUUAUACUAUUUUUAUAUUUUAUGCUCAACAUAAUAAUUUAUUUAAAGCUGCGUUUUUUGUUUGACAGGGGGAGGUAGGAAGGUGACGAGGGUGGAAGUCACGCUGGACGGCGGCGAGAGUUGGGUGGUGUGCGCAGUCGACCACCGCGAGAAGCCGAACAAGUUCGGCAAGUACUGGUGCUGGUGCUUCUGGUCCGUCGACGUCGAGAUCCUCGACCUCCUCGGCGCCAAGGAGAUCGCCGUCCGAGCAUGGGACGAGUCACUCAACACCCAGCCUGAGAAACUCAUCUGGAACGUCAUGGUACACAACCAAAAAUCAAAAUCAAAAGUUUAAAUUUUGAAUUUGUAAUUAAUGCACUGUUUGUUUUAGUAGGACUGUGGCCACUUGAGCGAUAUAAAAUUAAUAUUCUAAUUAGAUAAAUAAUAAAUUCAAAUUUUACAAAACAGUUGUUGAAUAAUUAGAUAGUAAAUUAAGAAAGUCUAGAGGAUCGUAUUUUCAAAAUGCUUUAUAAUUUAGACGAAGUUUAAGUAAAAAUAUAUAAAAUUUAUCCGUAGUAUGGACUAUUUUGAGUUGAUUACUUAACAUCAAAAAUAAGUUUAAUUUUACUGGUCAACCUUCUAAUUUGUUUAAUUUGAAUCGUUUAAUAAUACUUUGAUUUUAAAAUUUAGAAUAAUUAUAGAUUUUAAUAAAUUUAUAUUUGCGAGAAUUGUAUAUAUGAAGUAUUCUAACUAUAUUUGUAAAGACAAACGAUCCAUUCAGAUUUUAAAAUUAAAAUAUUAUUAACUGACUCAUAUUAAGCAAAAUAAAAUAUUAUUAGACAAUAAAAUUAAAAUUUUUUAAAAAAUUAAAUAGUUGACUUAAAAUAAUACAUAGAUCAGAUAAGUUAUGUAUGUUUGAACCUAAAUUUCAUAAAUUUUUUACCCGAAUAUCUUGCCAUGCAUUUUAAUUUAUGCGACUAAACUGGGAAGACAGUGAGUUAAAUGGUGUGAUCAUUUCGGGGAUGCAGGGCAUGAUGAACAACUGCUGGUUCAGGGUGAAGGUGGCAGGCUGCCGGCCGUACAGGGGCGAGAUCGGGCUGGUCUUCGAGCACCCGACGCAGCCCGGCAACCAGCCCGGCGGCUGGAUGGCCAAGCAGAAGCACCUCGAGACUUCCACCGCCACCGCUGCCGCCGCAGCCGCUCGUCUGCCGACUCUCAAGAAAAGCACGUCGUCCCCCUUCAUGAACACCGCCGCCCAGCAGUUCUCCAUGUCGGAGGUCCGCAAGCACUCGUCGGCCGACUCCGCCUGGAUCGUCAUCCACGGCCACGUCUACGACUGCACCGCCUUUCUCAAAGACCACCCGGGCGGCGCCGACAGCAUCCUCAUCAACGCCGGCACCGACUGCACCGAGGAGUUCGACGCCAUCCACUCCGACAAGGCCCGCGCCAUGCUCGACACCUACCGCAUCGGCGAGCUCGUCGCCGCCGGCUAUGCCUCCGACAACUCGGUGCACGGCGCGUCGGACUUUGCUAACCAUCUGGACACGAUUAGCGAGGCCGCCCGAGCUCCGGCUGCGGCUCUCGUCGAUCGGCGCGAGAAGGUGCGGUGCCGGCUCGUGGCCAAGGCCGUGGUCUCGCGCGACGUGCGGCUCUUCCGAAUUGCUCUCCCGUCGGACGACCAAGUUCUUGGUCUUUCAGUUGGUAAACACAUUUUUCUUUGCGCCACUGUCGACGGAAAGCCGUGCAUGCGCGCCUACACGCCGACGAGCCCCGUCGACACGGUUGGGUACUUCGAGCUCCUCAUCAAGGUUUACUUCAAAGGUGAGCACCCAAAGUUCCCCGACGGCGGAGUCAUGUCGCAGUACCUAGAGUCGCUUCCAAUCGGCUCCGCCAUCGACAUAAAGGGGCCACUCGGGCACAUCGAGUACUCCGGCCGGGGCAAUUUCAUGGUCAACGGGAAACCCCGGUUCGCGCGGCGGCUCGCGAUGAUCGCGGGUGGGACGGGGAUCACGCCAGUGUACCAAGUUAUCCAGGCGGUGCUCCGUGACCAGCCGGACGACCGGACCGAGAUGCACUUAGUCUACACGAACCGGUCGGAGGACAACAUUCUCCUAAGGGACGAAUUGGACUGGUGGGCGGCGGUGUAUCCGGACCGGCUCAGGGUUUGGUAUGUAGUGGACAGGCUCAGCCGGCCCGACAAGGAGUGGCGGUACAGCAUCGGUUUCGUGACGGAGGCCAUAUUACAGGAGCACGUCCCCGCGGGCGGCGCCGACGACACGCUCGCACUCGCGUGCGGGCCGCAGCCGAUGAUACAAUUCGCCGUUUUGCCAAACCUCGAGAAGAUGAAGUAUGAUAAAUCCGACUCCAUCUUUAUUUUUUGAUACGGCACGAUACGAUUCGGACACUGUAAAUAUAUAUGUAUGGAUUUAUUUUGACUACUGUGCUAGUCCUAUUCUUUGGUAAUUUAAGCCAACAAAAGCCUAGAAGAGAGGUCAAAAGCGGAUAAGCAGAUGCGUAUGGAAUCUCCAUUUCCAUUUAUUAAUUUGAUUAAUGCAAUGUGUAUUAUUAUGGUUUGAUGGAAUCUUUGAAACAAGGGGGUUAGUUGUGGGACCAAAAAGUAUAUGAGAAAAUCCUCUUGGAGUGGUACUAAAGGAUAUUCAUUAGAAGUGGUUGAUAGUGAUGGGCACUGAAAAAGAAAAUGUUCUUCAAGUUUGUUUUUUUCUUUUUAAAGAUAAGUGCUAAAUUCAUUGAACUUUAAUAUCAAAUUGUAUGUCAUUGUUAGUCUCUACAUAAUGCAAUUUAAUUUCCGAGUUAAAUGUAUUGUAACAAAUGUAGCUCAUCUAGAAGAACCCCAAUUUUUUUAAAUAAACAUCAAAGCGUGGUCUGUAAGUUUGAGACGAUCAUAUAUACUUUUCAUUGAUCUAGGCUAUAGGUCACACAGUAGCCACCAUCCGUACAAAUAUUUAUUUAUAUUUGUAUUUCUUUGGUUAACAAACUAAAAUUUAAAGGCUAAAUUUAGUCUUACUUAAACUUCAAUACAACUUAAAAGUGAUUUUCAACCUAAAAAGUAGUUGUGCGCAAAGAAAUAGGUUGAUUAAGUUAGUUUUUACCACAAGAAAAUACUCUCUAGUAAGAGCUAAUAAACAUGGUACAAAAGGCUACAAAGGACAUUGACAAAUUUGCUUUUGUUUAAAGUGUAAGAGCAGAUGCGGAAGAGUAAAAUUAAAAGCAUGCAUGGUUGUGAGGAGGUCAAAGUAAUAGUGAAAUGAUAGAUGCAAUGAAUUAAGGAAUCAUUGAAUUUGCCCUCUUUACCUUCAAGGACACAUUACUGUCCUUAAUAGAGUAGAUACUUUCCAAGAAAAACUCUUCAACACUGCAUACAAACCACCCAUGGUUGAGUGUUUACCCACCAACCCUGUUGCUUUUAAGUUUCUCCUUUUGACUUUAAUGACAAGAAGAGACAACAGAGUCCAAUAACAUCAUAGAAUAUUCUAUUAAUACCCCAACAAUAUUUAAUAAUUUUAAUAAAUAAGUUUUUUUUGUUGACAUGCAAAUUACAAAUUAUCCGAAGUGAUAUAAAUGCUACAGAACAGUAUUAUAAUAAGAGAAAUGCUAAGAGUACGCCUCUAGACUAGGUAUAGAUCUUACACCCCUCACAUCCAAGAACUCUUAUUCUCUACUUGUCAUAUUAAUUUUUUUUAACUAUGAAUUUAAAGAAGUUUAUGAAGCCUAAGAUGCUGGAACUGCUUCAGAUAUAACAGUAAAUAAAGAUGAUGCCAAUGAGAACUAGCAAGUUCAAAGAAUUUCUCAACCAAAUGUGUUAAUGAAUCAUGGCCCUAGCUUGACUUAUUAAUCUAACAUUAUCCAUCAAAUAGUUUUCAGUGUUUGAAAUUUGCUGUAAUUCAAUUAAUCGAAUUGAUCUAUAGUUUUUCAAGCAAAUUUGCAAUGAAAUGUAGUUAAGUAAGGUCCAACCCCACAAAGAACAUGGUGUCACAUUAAGCCUCUUGAGUACUAACAUGCAAAACAAAGAAUACCUACAUGGAUUUCUUGACAAUAAAAAGCAUUCUCAAGGUGAGAUUAGUUGAAGGAAGUUAAUGCAAAGAUGAGAUAACACUCCCCACAGAGGACACAAGAUAAUUGAUUUAAUCUAAUGAUUGAAACCAAGAACAAGCAUUUUGUUCGGUAAUCGAGAAUGUUUACUAGAAACAACAAUAUGACAACAAAGAAAUGAAGAAUACAGAUCAUUCAAAUAAUCUUAAUGCUUCCUAGAAUGAAGCAAAUAAUUUACACCAUAUGCAAAUGUUAAGAAGUGCACAAAUAAACAAAGAUGCAUCAACAUACAUGACAAGAACAACAAUAUUUCAUUUGGGUCUAAAUUACAUGAAUGUAAAUCAGUAAACUAGAGAAGAAAUUCACAAAUAUCUAGCCAUUACCUAUUCAACAGUGUGCCGGUUUCCCUUUGAUCAGCAAUAAACAAGAACGGUACUAGCUUCUGCUCCUCAGCUUACAUCCAUGCCCGAUCUACCCCGGCUUCUUCGUCGGCGGCGCCGUCGUCCCUCCGAUCUCGCCACAUCCAUGCCUCUCCCUUGGGCACUAAUGACAGAAGCCACCGCCUCAUCAUCAACAUCAGCUGAAUACGCAGCACUAACAUCAGGACCGCUAAUUCCAUCUACAGAAUCAUAACCACUCUCUUCUUCCCUUUGUUCCGAUCCUGCGUUCUCUGUUUGAAGCCUCAUAAGUCGCGCACCCUCUUGCAAGAAGAAGUAAAGGAUCCUCCUACUAAUGUCAUGACUUCCCCUUUCAUCGUUCUCUUCGUCGGAACCGUCCAUCUCUAUAACAUAAUCCCCAAACACCACUGCCCUCGGCAUUGACGACCUGAUAGUGCUGAUCACAUCCUGCCGCUCCCUCUCGUGCUCGAGUGUCCUCCACUUCUGCUCAUGUGCAGGAUCCACAUCACGAGGCCUUGCGGAAGGGUGCACAGACUUCACAUGUUUGCGGAGCUCUCUAUAUGAUCCCACGAAAGAGCAAUCAUCCUGCAUACAGCUUCUCUUCUUACUAUUUAAAUAUUCACGAGCUGGUUCCACAACGGUCCAUCCCUUCACCUCGCCCCGGCACAGAGGGCAGGAAAGCUCGAUUGCUUCUGGCUUUUGGCCUGUCUCCUUGGAGUAGGCUUUUCUGAACUGGUCGAGGCAAUUAGAGUGGCGGUCACUGGUCCCGCACAUAUAAGGGCGGCAACCCUUGUCAUGGGACGAACAGAGGAGGAGGACGGCGUUGUGGGGGUACUCCAUACACACCGAGCAGGUGGUGUCUUCCCACUCCCUCUUCUUCUCUGAGCAUAAGAGCCUAUUCUUCUUCCUAUCAGUUACAUCUUCUGUAUUCCAAUGGUAGGAUGGGAUAGAAUAUGGAGUAGACCUGUGCUGACGAGUUGAAAGUCUUCGGCGUCUGACACUUCUUGCCAUUUUAGCAGAAUAUCUGAGGAAAAUAAUUGUUAAAAUCUUAAACCAGUGUUAUAAAAUGCUCUCCUAAUAUUCAUUUAUGGGAUUCUGUUGACAUGUAUGUAAGAAAGGUUGUAACGAAGACCACAUUUUGUGAACCUCUUUCUUUGUUAUGCACUAUCCUUGUUCAAAAAUAUAGAGCAACGUAAGUAAAAUUCCAAUAUCUCGCAACUAAUAGUGUAAUUGUGUGUGGGACUGAAAGAUUUUAUGCUUGCACUUAAAAAUCACAUGAAAAUUUCCAGCUUUACACUUGUAUAAAAUAAUACUGGUUCAUGCAAAUAUGUCUCUGUCUGUGCGAAGAGCAUGUAACUGCAUGCGUGCAAAGAACCACAGACACAUGCGAGAACAAAGAAGACAAUAAGACAGAUAUGACCGAAUUUUCACUCACCACUACUCAACUAGACGACAGAAACUUGUCGUGCAACAAUAGCCUACCUGUGGGAUAAAAAAGUUUUGUAUAACACUCAACAACUUAGUUCUCUAUUCAGGAACAUAAAACAAGCAGUACUAUAGGCCUAGAGACCAUCAACCACCAUUCAAUUAUUUAGACAACUCUACUUCCAAGUUAGAGGUAACAAAGAAUAGCCACAAUAAUAUACGAGGCAAAAUGGAGUUACUUUCAGUCCAAAACAUAUCACAAAUGAAAUAUUUAACAAACAUAAACCGUCCAUCUACUUUACUGGAAGACAAUUUAGGUCCCAAAUAUAUGUAGAUUAGCAUGCGCGCCUUUGAAAACGAUAGAUCAUAAAUCUUUCGAGUCAAGGGAUCUGGAUAAAUCUCAAUUGGCAAAGCUAGAUCCUACGAUUCCUUGGAGACGUAAGGAUUUACACUAGACAUCUCACAUUACGUCUCCAACUUCAAAACAGAUGAUGAAUCCAUAUAGCCAAUUACAGAUGGUAUUGUAAUGAGUGGAUAAUUGUCUUGUAAUACAAUAAUUAUAAGACAAAUAAAAGAUUUAUCUGAUAACUAUGUUGCUUUAAUGUAUCUAUUCAUCUUUGACACCAAGCAUCCUCAGAUCUACAAUUGCCUACAACUUUAUUUUAACAUUCACCAUAACUCAAGGCCAAAAUUAUUCAAUUUAGCUGUUCGAACAGAACCUAAUUUUAGUCCUAAGAAAAACUAAAACAUUUCAACACUAGCACCAACUUGGGUAGAUCAUUGUUAUACUCCAUCUCCCAAAAAACCAAGAACUUGAAAAUCAAGGAUGAACUAAAAAGUGUUGCGAUAAAAUUGAAUUAACUCCAUAUGAAGUGAAAAAUUCAGAAUUCCAAUUGCUACAGAGCAUAAGCCAGGAAUAGUAGCUGUGUCACAAACCUAAAUCAUACAGCAUUAAUUUUUUUUUAAAAAAAAUGGAGGUAAGAGAAUUUAUUUAGAAUUCCCAGGUCAAUUGUUAACAAUUCGUGUAACAAUUUCGCCUUUCCCCAACAAUUUAAAAGCUCAAAUGCCCACUUUGAUAUCUAAACUACUCUCCUAUGAAAUCAUACUCAUGAAUUACCUGUUUUUGAGGAAGCCCCCUCUCAAACAAACAAAUGAGGAAAAUAAAGCAAGAGAUAAUAGAAAAAUGCCAACUUUGUUACUUAAGACAGUUGAGGGAUACAAACAUAUAUAUAGAGAUAAAUAUAUACAGCAAACCCCACAUCAAACAAAGAUAGAAUUUUUAUUAGUGUAUUAUAUAAGAUGCUCUGAUCAACCGAUAACCCCGAUGGGAUCUACCCUAACCACGCAACGCAAGCAUUAUUAAAUUAAAAAAAAAUUAAAAAUAAUUUAAAAAAAAAAAAGGUGGGGGGGGAGACUCACAUGCUCUUACGAUCUCGGCAUCUUACAGCUACUACUCAGAUCUCCCAACCCCCCUCAAACUGGGGACCCCAAAAAAGGGGGAGGAGAAAAAAAGUUAAAAAGAAAAAAAGGGAAAGGUAAAGAGGGAAGGUAAAAGAGAGGGCCCAAAAUUGAACUCGAAUGUUUCGGAAAUUUUUAAAAUUUUGCGAGGAAAACGAAGAAGGGGGAAGGGUCGAAUUGUGUACCUAGGGUUUCCUCGAAUGGCGAUCGAGCUCAAGCAAAUCCUCGCGCUUUUUUUUUUUUUUUUUUUUUUUUUUUUNGGAAGAAGACGAAAUGGUAACGGAGUUGUAGCCACGUUUGUUAUAUAGGGAGGGGACGAGUGGUGUUGAAAAUGGGAAUUAACGUCAUUUGGACCGCGCGAUGAGGACACGAUGUCGAGGAGUUUGGAUGUGGACCGUAAUAGGCCGGGCCUGAUCAACCAGAUCCGGCCCGGUUUGAGUUGAUUAGCUCUUCCUAUAUGGGCCGAAUUAAGCCCACGACAAGCAAGGCCUGUAGUAGGCCUAAAAGUUAUUCAGGCUUGGGACCCCUUUGGUGUGGAGACUAAUGUUAAGUAAAACGGAGUUGGCCAAAAAUAUAUAGGCUUCGUUUAGAAUUACGAGGAGAUUACGUUAUAUAUGGUGAAAAAGUACCAUGAGAAAAUAUCCUAUUUCUUUUCAUAUGUAGAGUCAACCGGAAAACACAGAAGCAUAUCGCUAUAUACUUUUAUCCCAAUUCCAUUUUAUCUAAUAGUAUCAUAUGAGCCUCAAUACCAAACUAAGCUAUAAUAAUAUGUUUCUUCAUUUUUUAAUGAGACAGUAAAAUGUAUAUUAAGUAUAGAAAUAAAUAGAAUAUUUUUCAAAUCUUUUGUUGUUUCAAAAUUCACAAAUAAAUGGUUGGUGUAUUUUCCAGCAUCAUUUUAUGUGGAAUUAGUGAUUUAGAAGCUGUUUGGUUUCUCCAAAAAGCAUGGAAAAAAAAAUUUCAUAAAAAAUCUCUUUAGCUUUCAGUUUUAAAUCCAUGUGAUUGCAAAGAAAACUUGCUUCUUUGGAAAGCUUAUUUUCAAAUUUUAUAGAAAACUAGUAUUUUUGUUUUUCUUAAAAAAUUCUGAAAAAUAAAAAUAUUAAUUUGCUAUGAAAUUUGCAAAAAAGUUUUUUAAAAAAUUAGUUUUUCUUGAAACCAAACGAACGAAAAACUAAAAAAAAAAGUUUUCAUAAAAGUAAAAUUGAACUGUCUACAUAUGUACACGAAUACAUGAGAUGAACGAAGAUCAUAAAGGUUUAAGGCAUUACUUGUUCUUGGGGCUUUUCAAAAUAUUUUCGAACCUCUUUACAGCAUAGAAAAAAAAAAAAAAAAAAAAAAGGAAAAACUGUGGCAGUGUUUGGGUGAAGAACGAGGACCCAGAGAUGACAAUAUAUACGGAAAUACGUGGACCAUUCCUCCAAAUACUACAUACGGUGGUAUACGCUCUACGCUUCGAAAUUAAUGGGCGGAGGAGGAGAUACGUAGAGAAGGCGCAUAUUUUUGUUAGCAAAUUAUAUCAAAGGACAAUAAUUUUAUAGGUAACGGCAAGAAUUUAAUUAUCACGGCGUGCCAAAAAUUUACAGACACGGUAUGAUACGGUGCAUGUCGAAUCAUACCAAUAAAUGUCAAUCAAAGAAAUACAUGUAUACCAACAUAAUAGCAUAAAAUAUUUAUUUUUUAGCAACAAAAUAUUUUAAUUAUUUAUUUAUAUUUUUUAAAAUUUUAUUGAGAAAAUUACUUAUUAUUCUUUUUAAAAAAAUGAGGGUUUUGAAAUGUAUUAUUAGAACGAAAAUUGUAUCGUACUGAUAUAUUAUUAACACGAUAUGACACGGUGAAUGCAGUCUGUAUCGAUAAACACUUAAAUUCUUAAAUAACGGUGAAAUUGUGAUAUUCCAAUAAGUAAUUCUUUACCCUGCUAAAAUUUCUCUAUCACUGUCCAAUAAUAUCCAACUGUAAAAUACUAUUAAUCUUCAUAAUCUUAGUCAAUGUGGCAUCUAUAAUCUAUAAUUUAUAAAAUCUAUUAAUUUAGAUGAAUUCCCAAUGUUUGUUGUCAUAUGGUAAGUUUUUCUUCACCCUCACUAGCAUGUGACUCUUCUUCUUUCCCUCACUAAACUUUCAAUGUACAUUUUAAUGAUUCCACUAACAAAACUUUUAAUUAAUAUAUUUAAAUGGUUCCAUUCACAAAACUUUAAAUUAAUAUAUUUAAAUGACCCCACUAUCAUGUAUCAUUCUAUCAUUUCUAUCUACAAUUAUUCAUUAUUACCAUUUCCAUUCCCUCCACUGUACUUUUAAUUAAUGCAAACGAUUUCACUACCAAACUUUCAAUUAAUAUGUUUAAAUGAUCUCACUACUAUCUUACAAUCCUAACCUCUCUCUAUCUCCAAUUAUUGAUUAUGGCAAUUUUCCUUCCCUCCACCAGACUUUUAAUUUUUUUAUCUCCAACCUAUUCCUCGCUCCCUCCCUGUCUCUCACUAAUACGCGCCCACUUCCCCUCUCCCCAUGACGUUUGGUGGAUAUAUCAAGUGAGAUACAGAAGAGAAUGUUUAAUAUUUUCUUAUUAUUAAUUACUAUUAUAAUUUUUACCUGCUGUAAAGCGCGGGCCCUUCACUAGUUCUAUUGAUUUUCAUAAUCUUAGUCCAUGUGGCAUGCUUUCCUUAAGUUUUACCUAUGGGAUCCACCUUCAGAGUUUCUCCCUCUUCCGAUUUCUAUUCUCCAAUCGCUUCGCUCAUUUUUCGCUCUUCCAUACUGUGCUCGCUCACCUUCCACGUAACUCAUUGCCUCUUCGACUUUCCCUCUCAUUAAUUAAAUGCUACUCUCCAAUCACUUUGCUCUUUGUUCAUUCCUCCGCAGUGUGCCCAUUCGCCUCUUCCGUAAAAUCAUUGCCUCUUCGGUUUCCUGCCUCAUUAAUUUCUACUUUUUACGAGAUGUUGCCUCAUAAUAAAUGAUAAAAAAAGAAAAAAUUAUUUCUAAAGUUUUUUUUCUUUAUUGUACACUACUUUUUAUAAAUAAGUUAUUUGAGUUAUAUAAAAAUUGACAGAGCAAAAUUAUCAAGAACUAAUUAAAUUAUUUUGUUGCACCAACAGACUAAAUAUAAUAUAUAAGCCGUUGGACUCAUGGAUGUAUGAAAAUUAGCUCUUUACAAUUUAGGUAGUUACAACUAAAUAUUAUUAUUUUUAAAAUUUAUUUAUAUGGCUGUCAUAUAUUCCUUGCACUUUUUCUUCAAUUACUUUACAUUCUGUACUAAUUCUAUAAUAGCAUGACAAUUUUGAUAUUUAUAGAUAAAUGCAAUAAUAGUUGGUGUUAAGAGAAAUCUAAUUUGGGUUAAGAAAGAGAAUUGGACAAAUAAAUUUCUUUAUAUGAUUAGUUAAAUAUGAAUUUAAGUCUCUUCAGCAUAAUCUUUUGCCAUUUGUUAUACAUUCUUUAUAAUAUUCUAAAUAAAUAUCUUUUCACUUAUACUUCUUACUUUUUCAUUUCUUACAUUUUUUUUUUCUUAGAUUGUAAUUUCAUUGUAAAAAAAUUUUCUAUAUUUUUUAUAUUAUUAAAUCCUUUCUCACGUUAUUAUUUGUUAUUAAAUUUGUAAAUUUGUACUAAAAUAUUAUUACCCACCGCAUCGCCCGGAUUCUUACACUAGUAAUAACAUGGAAAAAAAAAAAAAACUGAAAUUCUUAUUAGGGGUUUGAAUGAUCACCGUAAUCUCCAAAUCAAAUGCUAUCUAAAAAUUUCAUUUCGCUAAUUAAUGAUAUUGAUCGAUCACCCUAUACAAAGCUAAUUACAUGCGUGUGUGAAUGCAUGUGCACAACAGCAAGUUUUCAUACGUCAAUACCUUUAUUUUAUGAAACUUUUGAAUUAGCACUAUGCAUUUAAAUCGUUAUAAUUCUGAAAAUUAUAUACAAAACUUGUUUUUCAUGCGUACAUAUUAUUCACAACAUAUAUAAAACUAAUUAAAUCACUACAACAAAAACGGUCUAUAGUGACACUUUUAAAUGUAGCUAUAUGUCAAAAAAGUGCUGCUAGCUAAAAUUACCGACACUUUUAAAAAGUGUUGCUAUAUGUGGGGUCGCUAGGUAUAUAGUGACAGUUAAAGAGUGUCGCUAUAACCUAAAAGAGUGCUGCUAAUUUACCAACACUUAUUUAAGCAUUUAGCAACCGCCGAAACUCUAUCUCGUUGGCUGCGGUGGUGGAGGAGGACGACACGAAAGGCUCUUCGUCUAGAAAUUCAGUGGAUUGAGUAAAGAGAGAAGAAAAGAUGGUAAGUGAUUUUUCUUUUUUUUUUCUUUUCUGUUUGUAAUCGGGCCAAAUGGACUGGGUGUGGUGGGUUGAGUAGAGUAAUCUUUUAUUUUUGGUUGGAUUGGGCUUUAUAUUUAGAAUAAAUGGGACACUUACUUAAAAGUGUCCCAAACAUGUGUCCCUAUAACCUAAUUUUGUUAUAGUGAAUACCCACCUUAUUAAUAACGUUUGUUUGACAUUAAAGACAAAACUCUUUUUUUGAUUCUUUUUCCAACUUUUUAGAAUGACUAAAUUCAACGCUUUAGAUUUACCUACCGGUUUAGGUUAACCUAAAAUGAAACGUACAUCCUCUACAUUUCUCCAUAAAAUUUAAAGGGUUAAUUGCGCACUAGUUCCACAAACAUAGAUAGUAAAUUGUAAAUAUAUUCUUGUAAACUUCAACUUUCAUAAAUUAUUCCUACAAAAGUCAUAAUGUUUUCAGAUAUAUUGCUCUUAUUUGUUACAUUAGAAACUGUUAAAAAAUUGUUUAUAUUUUCAAUUUGCUAUCACAAAUAUAUCCCUCCAAAAAUUAUAACAGUAUAAUACAAAAGAGAUAAAAAUGUCAAAAAUUAUAAAAAUUAAUUAGGGUAAAGUAUUUAACCUAUGGUUAACUAAACUUUUCUAACGGAUUUUAACGACAGGAAUAUAUCUGAAAAUAUUAGGACUUUUGCAGGAAUAACUUAUAAAAUUUGAACUUUAUAGAAAUAUAAUUACAAUUCAUUAUGUUUGCGGGAAUCUGUAUGCAAUUAAUCCUUUUUUUUUUAUUUUUGAGAGAAAUGUCGCAUGCUACCCGCUUCGUUUAUUUCAUUUAGAAAUAAACUUAGCUGGAAAUGUGAAUCAACUAGGAUUCGAACUUGGGUCUCGGAUACCAACCAUCAAGCCCUUUUGCCACUUGCAAUUAAUUCAAAUUUAAAAGUCAAUAAAACAUAUUUACGCAUCCUCUUUCUCUAUACAUUUUUCCAUAGAAUUUAAAAGUCUUUACACUAAAAAAGUUAACUAAAUAUCUCUAUUGACGAAGAACUUGUAUUUAUAGACCACAGAAAACUAUAAUAAUAUACUGCUCUUAAGGUUUCAAAUAUUAUUAUUUUUUUUUAAUUUCAUCUUCUGAAUUUAAAUUUUAUUCUAAAUUUUAACUUCCCUUUUAUGAUUUUUUUUUUUU